UUCUCUCUCUCUUUUAAUCCUUCAACGAUCCAAGUUAUUUAUUGUGCAUCUCAUGAUAUCAGUAGCAAUGCAUUUAUAUCUUCAACCACUAAUGCUGUUAUAUUUCUUCAUUUACAAAAUGCAUAGGAUUCUAGCAUCUUAGCCAUGCCUACAGUUCCCGACCCUCCACCAAAGUUACAAGUAGAGCCAACCACCCGGGAUACUCUUAACGCCAGGGCUUUUAGUUUGUUAUCUGUUGCCGGAGUAUCCGGGUUUUGCCAGGUUCUAUCUCGUUUUUCAGUUCUUUAUGCUUUUUAUUGUUUGCUAUUAUCCUUGGUUAAUCAUUAAUAUUGAUGAAAUUGUGCAAUAAAUAGGUAAGCAUACCACUAGGCACACAUGAUGGUCUCCCUAUAGCAGUUUCGUUGCUCGCGAAUCAUGGCUUAGAUGGAUUCUUGCUUAAUUUUGUGGAGAGCAUUGACACCACUCUCAAAAGGCAGUAAAAUGGUAUCUGAGAAUUUUACUUGCUGAAUUUGUUUACAUAACUGUAAUUUUUACUUUAUACGCUGCUUAUAUACAUCUAGUUAAAGGGUUCACGAUAAUUAAGAAUCAAGAGAAUAAAAAUGGCUCACUAUGUUCAAAUCUUUUUCUUGAAUCACUUCUGUGUGUACGCUAAAAGUCGAUGAAUGUAAAAUUUGCUUUGAAAAUUUGAGUGGCCAAAAUCUCUCUCUUUUAUACUAUGUGUGUGUAAUAUACUUUUCAUUUUCUUUUGGUGACAAUUAUAUGACUUCAUAGGGAUAUUUAUCAUAUACGGUUGAAUUCUAGAGCCACGAUAAUUGAAGUGCCGUGUCCUAAAGUAAGGGUUGGAUAAUAUUGACUUUACAUAAUUUGAAUUUUAUUCAAAUAAUCAAUCUUACUCAAACACUAAUCACUACAUGAUUGAGCCCCAAUUUGGGUCAUAUUUUCUAGGGAAUGGAAUGAGAAUUCGGACCGUUGAUUCCAAAUUGCAGUCGCACGCAUUGACCGUUUCUUUUACCGUGGAUUCUGUCUGAGAUCUCAACGGUCAGAAUUGUCUACUAAUUUCCUAAAAAAUGUCCCAGACAAGGGCUGAAACUGUAUCCAAUUACUAAACAAUAUAAAAUGUUAUUUUAUAUCUAUCCACACACGUGUAGUAACCAAGGAAAUUCUUUUACCAAUUUUUUUAAAUAAAAAAACGUAGAAUUUGGAUAACAGUAAAUGAAGUUUGUAAUAUCAAUUUUAUGAUUUACACUUAUCAAAAUCAAAAUAGGAGUAUGGUUAACAAUUUAUAAUUGUCAAACUCAGGUUACCAUAUAUACUACAUUACAUACCAAAAAUCAUGGCUAAAGUCAUUUGAUUGUAAAGAUGGAAUUGAAUUGUCUUGAAAAUGAAUUUUAGGAAAUUGAAUUGUUUAGAAAUUAUUUUUCUGGAAAUUGUAAAUUAUUGUAUUUGAUUAGUAUAAUUUUUCAAGUGGAAAAUGUUGAAAUGAAAGUGUUUUUUUGGUGUUCGUUUGAUUUUGUUUUACAUGAAAAUUGUCAAUCAAAUGGAUAUAAUUUAUUGGUAUUAGGAUGAAAUUUAUUUCCAUUGCCAAAACCAAAAAAAUUAAAAAAAUCAAGAAAAACAUUUUUCUUUUAGUGUUCGUUUGACUUUGUUUUACAUGAAAAAUGUCAAUUAAAGGGAAAUAUUUUUUUACAAUAAUUUAUAGAAUUUGUUUCUAUUAUCAAACAAUUUAAAAAAAAAAAAAUGCUAAUUCCAAUUCUCACCAUUUUGGUGAGAAUUUCAAUUCUUUGAAUUUGUGGAAUUUGGCUUAUAUGGCACUCAAGUUGAAAAUUCAAUUCCUGGUUAAAAAAAAAAAAUGCUAUCAAACAAUGUUAAAUUGGAAGGUGGAAUUCCAAUUCCAUUUUCUAUGGAAUUCCACUUCCAAUCAAACACAUCCUAAAUAAGUUAUCAAUUAACUUUAAGUUGUAUUUUUAUAAUAAAAGCUGUUAAUAAAAUUAGUAUAAUAUUAAAAAGAUUAUUUCAGGGAAUUAUUGAUAAAUAGAAAAGAAAAUGAUUUUUUUUUUUAAAUUUCAUGUUGAAGAAAUUGAAUUAAUGUUGUGAAUUAAGUAUUAGCAAAACUAAAAUUAAAUAAAAAUAUAGUGGGUAUGUAGCUAAAUAUGAAUUUAAUUAAUGUUACUAAUUAAUUAUCAAUAAGAUUAAAAUUAAAUAAGGGUAUAUUAGGUAUAUAAUUAAAUAUGUAAGGGUGAAUUGGGUAUUCAAAAGUUUAUCCUCAUUUAUUUUAUUUUAUUUUAAAGCGUGUUGUUGUAGUAGGGUGUACUUGAUUUGGAAAAACCAAAUUUCCCCCUUGAUUAUAAUUGUUUUGAUUUGAACUUUUGAAGCAACAAACAACUUUAGUACAUUAUAUAUGAAAUCCUAUAUAAGCAUGAGCGUUGUUUGUCAACAAAUAACGACAAUGAGUGCACACAAACUUCUAACUGUUUGAUUAGCCGAAGUAACAAUUCUUUUACCUAUCAACUCUAACUUAACUUUCGUCAAGAUUGCUGUUUACAAUACUUGACUAUAUCGAGGUAUUCUUAUUAAAAUUAAUCAAAGUCAAAUGUACUUUGAACGAUUAUUUCUAGAUCUUUAAUGAGUCUUCUGAAAUGUUAUUUCUUGAUAUUGGUUCAAUCUUGUAUUGAGAGUUCUAUUGUAUGUAUAAAUUGUUUGUAGAAAUGUAGUUUUGCAUUUGUUACUGAUGCAUACAAUACUUUUUAUUAUAAAUAGUAUUUGAAUUGACUAAUACUUUUAUGUAUAAAAAAAUAUUAUUUACAUAACAAGAACCCUUAUAGUACACCUGCUAUAUAUUAUCUUCCCUUUACAUUAUAAGUGGCUAAUUAUUUGCAAAACUUGCACGUUUGAGAUAUGAAAGUUGUGUCUCGAGUAUGAAUUAAAGUUUUCAUUGAGAAAUUACAAAUUAUAGAUACUUAUUGUACAUGUAUAUAACACAAAUUUUGAUGCAUCCAAAACUAACACAAUUGUAAGAUACUACUCAAGAAAAUUUAAAGGUAACAUUACAUAAAUGGGGAUUUAAAUGCAUCUCAGGUCAUUAUACUUUCAAUGAAUAUGCAAUUGGGUCAUUCAUCACUCAACUUUGCUUUGCACACUAUUUUUUAUGCUCCAUCUAUCAUAGUUCGUUUAACUAUCGUGAUGUGCUGAUUUGGACGUUAUAACUAAUGGAGGGAUGACAUAUGAAAAAUAAAAACAAUAAGUUAUGCAACUUAUGUUUUCUCUUCCUUGAAGUAUGUUAUUCAAUAAGCUAAAAAAGACAUAACAUCAUCCCUCCAUUAAUUUUAAAGUCCAUGUCAACUUAUUACGUUGGUUAGAUUGAUGACAAUAGAUAGAGCGACCAUGGCUAUAAUGCAAAUUAGAUUAUUUAGGGUUAUGUAAAUAGAGCUUUUAAGAAAAUUUCUCCGGCCAUUGGCUAAAAACAUUCUAAGUAUUAUUUGUAAUACAAACGAGCUCUAGUACCUGAAAUGAAUUCUGAUUGGGUUCCAUGUAUUUUAUACAGACACAGUCCGUCUUUGAAAUGAAAUACUUUGUAAAAACACUUAACUCAUUGCCAAAAAUGAGUAUAAGUUUCCUUUCAAAUUAUAUUGAUUUAAAAUUAUUAUCCACGUUAGAACUAAAUAGUCGGCCCCAUUGUCUCUUCAAAGGCACAUAAAUCUGGCGCAGCAUUUGUCUACACUUGCAUUAGAACCAUCAUUUCUUGGACGCCUUGAUAUGGAACAAACACUCGUUGAGGCCCAGAGCUAUGACAUGUAACCCCUACGGAGCACUCACAACAUCGGGGGUUGGGGUUGGGAGGGCUUUUGGGCUAUUUUUCAUACCGAGACCCACCUGCUGUGAGGGUCGAUAGGGUGCCCUGGUAAAACACCAAAACUCUUUAUUUAUAUAUACUCUGAUUAGAAGUAUAGCGAUAUAAGCUGAUAAGCAUUUGUAUGAAAUUUUUAGAAACUAGCUACAGGCUUUCAAUGCCUGUGCAGCUUGAAAGAAAUCACCCUCAUUAUUGUUAUAUUGCUUUCCUAAUUUAGCUUACACCCCCUACCCCCUCAAUAUUUAAUCAGUGCUAACAGCUAAAAUAAGAUUUAUUUAUCUUUUUCCCACAUUUUUUUGCUCUCCAUAUUUAUUGGACACUAAAGUUCAGUUGUCAAUUAAACCAUUUCCACGUGCAUUAAAAGAUUUAAAUUUGAUAGCUCGUGGAAAGAGAUAUUUGUUUUCAAUCAGAAGAGUGUCGAGUUGCUGGGGUAAACUUCCUUCCGAGGCCCUUGGCUACAAAACAUGAUUGCUAACACAGGUCUAUGAAGGUUUCACUGCCUAUCGAGUAUAAAAUUGGUCUUCUUCUCUGCAUGCUGUCAUUUUGGAUACCAAUGCCUAUUGUCCAAUAUUGUUAUAUCUAUUUGAGAGUACUGAAGUAUGAAAUAUUGCUAUUAUGGAUGCAGAUGCUUUGAGUACAUGUGACGAUUCUAUGAUUUUCGAGGUCUGAGGCGAACAUCAUAAAUUAGGCCCCAAAAUUUUAGUAUACAUGCAAAAUCUACAAGUGUAUUAUGAAGUCAAUAGUUAACUUAUUAAUUUAAAAGUUAACAAUAAAAUGUAAUAUACAAAUGGUUGAUAUUAUAAUCAAAUAAUAAAGCCGACAAUGUUUCAAAUGACCAGUUAAAUACUAUUCGUCUUGCUAUUUUAGAAGCAAAAACAAUGUUGAAAUUUGAAUGAUCUACCUGUUCAAUCAUUUAUUUCUCAACUGAUAAUAUAGUCAAUCAAUUCAAUCUUUCUUAUGAUAUAGUUGAUCGAGGAUAAGAUAAGUUAACAAAAUUUUGUAAGUAACAUAAGCAUUUGAUAUGUCUUCAAAUAUUGUAGCACUUCAAUUACUCUCGUUGUUUCACUUAGUAUAUAGCACCUUAAGACAUGUAACUCAGAAUAUAAAUCAUUUUCGUUAAUAUCUGAACGUCCAUUAAGUUCUCGAGACAUCUCAAGAUUCAUACAGUGCUUCAACAAAUCGAAAAAAUUGUACGCCUUAACCUUUCCAAAUUUAAUAAAAAUCCAAAUAUUUCUUCAUAUUUUUAAAUUAUUCAUAUAUAUAAUCUUAGAGAAGAUAUAUGUUGAUUAGUUAUAAAAAGGAAGUAUUCAAUUUAAAAGAUUCUUCAACCGAUUGAUUUAUCUAAUCACUACUAAUUUUGUCAAAUUGUUUCUUUAUUCAAAUUAUACGUUUUUAUCAAAAUACAUCUUCAUUAUCCAUUUUACUUGCCCUUUUUGUCGGUUUAUCCAUGAUAAUAGCAAAUUGAAUUUAUCUAUAAUUUUCAAGAAAUGAAAUAAUUCCUUGUAAGAGGUCAAUAACCCCAUCGAUAUCCAUAUUUUUGAUUUAAUGAAAUUUACUCAUAAUAUUGACUGCAUACAACAACCUAAACCAGAUUACUAUGUUAAGCAAGAACUCAAAAUUUCGAAGUUCAUAUAUCGCUGUUACGUGUUUGCUCACUUGGAUAACCCACCGGGGCCCACAGCCAACUCAUGCUGAACCACGUGGCACUCAAGCCGAGGUGAUUUGCAUAGCCGAGGCCCACAAAUUGAGGCCCACAGAAGCCUAGGCCCAUAUAUACCGAGACCCAUCUAUUAUUGUCUCUUGAGGAGCUUCCGAAGUCCAUAUGUCGAGUUCCUUUGAAGGUGGACGAGGUCCUAUUGGCCAAAGCUCUGUAGCCGAGGUAGCAGCCUUCGAAUCACAAAGCAGCAUCUUCCAUAGACAAUUCUCCCAAGAGAUCCUCUGAACAAAGAUCUUACUUGAAUGAUUGAUAGGACGUUUGUCAUGAUUGUGAAUGUUAAGUUUUGUCACUAGUAGAGGCUGCUCUGCCAAUCAAUAAAUGUAUAGCAGGCUAGGUGCAGCUGAUGCCUACAAUUUGACAUGUAAAUUAACAACAUGAGGCCACGUGUACCCCGAACCAAAGGUCACGAUCUAACUUGUGAUACUAUAAAUAUUCCCCUAUGUACCCCAUCAAAGGCUGAUGUAAGAAUCAAUACAAGAAAUCAUACUUUACUCAACUCUCUCUUUCUUAUUAUCUUUCAACACAAACGAGUUCAUACAUAUUUAAAUACAUAUUUACAAAUAUCGAUUGGUAAUUAUUGACUCUACAAAAUGUUCGUAGGCCGAUUGAGAGUUGAGUAAAGUAUGGUUUCUUGUAUUGAUUCUUACAUUAGCCUUUGUAUGGGGUAUAUAGGUGAGUAUUUAUAGUGUCACAAGUUAGAUCGUGACCUUUGAUUUGGAGUAUACGUGGUCUCAUUCGAUUAAUUUACAUGUCAAAUUGUAGGCAUCAGUCGCACCUAGCCUGUUAUACAUUUAUUAAUUGACAGAGCCGCUUCUAUUAGUGACAAGACUUAACAUUUACACUCUUGACAAACGUCUUAUCAAUCAUUCAAGUAAGAUUUUUGUGCAGAGGAUCUCUUGGGAGAAGUGUCUAUGGAAGAUGCUGCUUUGUGAUUCAGAGCCUGCUACCUCGGCUACAGAGCUUGGCCAAUAGGGCCUCGUCCACUUUCAAAGGGCCUCGACCUAUGGGCUUCGGAAGCUCCUCAAGAGGCAAUAAUAGGUGGGCCUCGGUAUAUAUGGGCCUAGACUUCUGUGGACCUCAGUUUGUGGACAUCGGCUAUGUAAAUUACCUCGGCUUGAGUGCCACGUGGUUCAGCAUGAGUUGGCUGUGGGCCCCGAUGGGUCGUCCAAGUGAGCAAACACGUAACAAUAGUUCCCCAAGUCCAAGUAUAGUCAUUUAUGUAAUGCGAGGACUUUGAUGAAAUAAAGCCAGCCAGUUAAGUUGAAAGAAAUUUUUGAAAUUUUUGUACCCCAAAUAAUAGUCCCCAAAGUCCAAGUAUAGAUAUUUAUAUCAUGGUUGGAGUUAGAAAUGUGCCGUUGUGCAAGAAUGAUGAAGCCGAGGUGGUUUGAGAAAUCGAACCCGUGAGGCUUGUGGAGGCUGAAUUCUGAUGAGAAAGCCAAGGUGGUUGAGCUUGUGGAGGCUGAAUUCUGAUGAGGAAGUCGAGGUGGUUGAGAAACCAAACUUGCGAGGCUUGUGGAGGCUGAAUUUUGAUGAGAAAGUCGAGGUGGUGGAGAAAUCGAACUUGCGAGGCUUGAUGGCUAAUUUUUGAUGAGGAAGCCGAGGUGGUUAGGAAACCAAACCUGUAAGGCUUGUGGAGGCUGAAUUUUGAGGCUCAUUGGUAAUGAUUGUUCCUCGACAGUUGUGCCAAUGAUUUGAUAUUUUACGCAUAUUUUUGAGGAAAGGUAGCUGGACCGUUCAACUUCCAAGGCAUCUGCUGUCGUCAAAUUAACGUCAUAAUUAUGAGCACACCUGGAGCUUCUAGAAGUAGACGCGUUUGGGGAGGUGCGUGGAGGACAUGCUUGAAUCUGAAGCGUAGGUUUGAAAAACAGUUUAACUUCUACGCCUCGAAUUUGAUUUAGAAUGAAGGGUGUCCAGAUUCAAUGGGCUUUGAUCAGACGGCUGGAGUUCAUCCUGACCCUUUAUAAAAGGCGAGAGACCCCUAUUUUUCUAGAUUUUCAACCUUUGCAAUUUCAUUUCUUCUUCAAAAGCUCAAGUUUUUCGGCAUCCAAACAGUCGAUCUUCUCGUUUUCCAAUGUUACUCCGUUCGCGUACUCAUUCCCCAUAGGUAUUUUCACAGAAAAUCCCUUGUAUUGAGUUCAUCCUUUUCUGAUAUGGAGUCCACUUCGGGUAGGAAAUUAGUAACUAUUGCGUCAUUCGGCGAGGGGGCGAGUCACAGAGGGGAACCCAAGGUUGAGCAAUAUGCUAUGACCGAGGAGGCAGUAGAUUAUUGUGAGGAGUGGGGGGCGCCCAGAGUGCCUUCAAAUAUGACCUUGAAGAGGCUGGGGGAGAUUAGGGAGGGGUACUGUAUACCUCAUUAUGUCGAAAUGCUGGUGCCUGAGGCUCAUGAGCGCGCCUGCUAUCCGAGGCCUGGAUGCGUGAUGGUGAGUGAAUACCUAUUUAAGGCAGGUAUGCGUCUUCCUUUAUACCCCUUCUUUAGGGCGGUGCUAAGGAACUUUAUGUUGUCGCUGACCCAGGUUCUGCCAAAUGGGUGGAGCCAGUUGGUUGGCUCGUACUUCCUAUGGAAGGAAGCGUCACUUGGGUAGGACAUGCCUCUCCACGUCUUCAUGACCUUAUUCCAGCCUAGGGUGAUAGGUAAGGAGUCAAGGGGGUGGUAUUACUUAACUCCUUGGGGGGCUCACGCACCAUUAGUGGUGGGGCUGCCUUCUUCCAUCAAGGGGUGGAAGGAAUCGUGGAGGGGGACACAGCCUUGGCUUGUACAGUACCGACCCAGUACUACGAAGCUCGUGAGUCUCCCAGCCUAAGUAGUUUACAUUCUGUAUUCAAAAUUAUCUUUUUCUAACUGUUGAGGUUUCCUAUGCAGAUAGUAGUACAAGGCUCGAGUUGAGCAAGGAGGAGUUUGAAGUGAUAGAGGACAUUUACAAGAGACCUUUGAAACUUUGGCACUUCGACCACCUCAUCGACCGAAGCCGCUACUUUAUUGACUUUGAAUUGAUAGCCUCCAAAGGUAAGAUGCUUGUAUACUUGUGUAUUUCUUGCUUUUUAUUUCGAUGCUGAUGUGCUGACAUGCUUUGCAGACAAGUUCAAGAGGAGGGAGUACCCAGACCUAGACAUGGCCUCUAUCCUUAGGGCCACAUCCAAUGUGAUGGCGAGGCCCCUAAAGUCGGGGUCAAGUGGUGCCAAGGAGGUCCGAUGGAGGGUGGAGCACCUCUCUAAAGAUAGUAGUUCCAGCGGUACUGAGGAGGUGACCCCCAGAGUUCGGAGAAGGCCAAAGAGCCUCGAGAAAAGGAGAAGGUCCCGAGGAGCAGAAGAAGAGGAAGCUGGUGCACGUCACCAGCUCAUCUGGGAAGUUCGAGACCUUUAUGUCCUAUGAAGGAAAAGAAGCCCCUUAGCCGAAGCUCCUAGAGGCCACCUCAAAAGAGUUGAAGAUUGAAAUGGUGUGGCGCGUCGAGGCCGAAGAGGAGGCUAUGAGGAGGGUGACUGAGAAGGCAGAGGAUAAAGCUACCAAGCAGAGGCCCGCAAGAGUGCAAGGAAAAUCUUCGAACUUCUUUGCCGGGAGGGAGGAGGUCCUGGCCCCGACGUUGGUGGAGGCUCUGCCAGUCGAGAUCCGAAGCACUACUGAGAGCUUCUACAAAUUUUGGACGGACCGGUGGCAGUUGUACGCCUCUUUCUGUGACGCGGUGGACUUGACAAGGGCCCUUGUGAGCCAAAGUAUGAGGACCUUUGGCCUCACAUUGGAGUGCAGGGAGGUCUUUACUGAUUUUCAGAUGAGGAUCCAAUCAUUGGAGAAGAAGGUAACCUCCCUCGCAGAGGAGCUGAAGAAGGCCAGGGCCGAGGCAGGGGAAGCGAUGGCCCAAAAAAUUGAAGACGCGGCCAAGCUGGAGUCUACUUUGCCUCAGAUCGAGGCCUUGAAGAAGGAGGUCUAUGAGUCCCAGUGCGAGGUGGCUUCCCUUACCAAGAAAGUGGAGGUCUCCAAUAACCACCAAAAGGUGACUGUUGAGGCCUUGGAGAAGGCCAAUCUGGAGUUGGCUGGGGCCCAAGACUCCUACAAGUUCUUGGAGGGCCAAAUAAAAUGGCAUGUGGAUGAAUUGGCCAAGGCAAAGGAGGAGGCCAAUGUGGGAAGGGAGGAGGUAGUCAAAGACUAUAUUGCUAACUUCCAUAAUACUGAGAAGUAUAAGGGCUUCAGCAUGUACUGGAGAAAUUAUGCUUAUGUCAAAAUGAUGGAGAGGGCUGAGGAACUCUACCUAAAUCAAGACCUGUCACAGCUGAGGUCGGAGUUUGUGGAUGAAGUGCCUCAGACCCCAGCUGAUGAAGCGGUUGGGGAUGAAGCAGCGGAGGCAGAAGAAGGGAGUUUUGAUGCUCAGGCUGUGGAGGCACCUCCACCAUCAUCCGAGGCUCAGGAUAGUUUACUUUUAAGUUAAUUUCGAUGUAUUGGCUUCAGACCCUCCUUUUGUAACUGAUUGAAAAUCAAUACACUCUUUCAUUCAAUGUUGUUCUUCUUCCAAGUGCAUUGGUCUCGUUAAGUAAUUGAACUUAAGAUUGAUUGAAGAAUUAAAUAACCUUGACUUGAUAUCCCAACUCCAAUCACUCAAGCAAGUAAAUUGUACUUAAGCCACAUGAACCAUAACUGAUAUUGGACUUAAGCAAGUAAAUUGUGCUUAGGCUUAAUAACUGUAACCUGAAUAGAUCCUAAGACUAGACCGUCUUUCAGCUGAACAGAGAACAUUGCUAGGUUUGAUUGAAAAGGUAGUUGUGUGAAGCUCGUAGUGGUUGAGCUUUGUGAAUCAAUGGGUACAAAAGUUCGAUCCUCGUUGAGGCUUCUUCUCUUGGCUUUUAGCCUUGCCAACGGAAGGCAAGUUGCGUGAGCCUUGGAGUUUAAGCGAGGUGGCCCAGAGAUGGGACGCGGACCUCUCCUUCGAGGUGACGACGCUUCCCAACAUGAUGGAUGGUGCACCCAUGAUGAAGCUUCUCCUAGUGGCGUUCAACCUCUCCAAAGGGAGGCAAGUGGAGUGCGCCACAGAGUUCAAGCGAGGUGGCCCAGAGAUGGGACGCUGACCUUUCCUCCGAGGUGAUGACGCUUCCCAACAUGGUGGAUGAUUCAUCCAUUUUGAGACUUCUCCCAAUGGCGUUAAGCCUCGCCAAAGGGAGGCAAGUAGGCGUACGCCUCGGAGUUCAAGCGAGGUGGCCUAGAGAUGGGACGUUGACCUCCUCCUCCGAGGUGACGACGGUUCCCAACAUGGUGGAUGAUUCAUCCAUAUUGAGGUUUCUCCCAAUGGCGUUCAGCCUUGCCAAAGGGAGACAAGUGGACGUGUGCCUCGAAGUUCAAGCGAGGUGGUCCAGAGAUGAGAUGCUGACCUCUCCUCCGAGGUGACGAUGCUUCCCAAUAUGGUGGAUGGUUCAUCCAUGUUGAGGCUUCUCCCAGUGGCGUUCAGCCUCGCCAAAGGAAGGCAAGUAGCUUGCGCCUCGCAGUUCAAGCGAGGUGGCCUAGAGAUGGGACGCUGACCUCUCUUCCGAGGUGACACGCUUUCCAAUAUGGUGGAUGAUUCAUCCAUGUUGAGGCUUCUCUCCCUGGCGUUCAGCCUCGCCAAAGGAAGGCAAGUGGCUUGUGUCUCGAAGUUCAAGCGAGGUGGCCCAGAGAUAGAAUUCUGACCUCUCCUCCGAGGUAACGACGCUUCCCAACAUGGUGGAUGAUUCACCCAUGUUGACGCUUUUCCCAAUGGCGUUCGGCCUCGCCAAAGGGAGGCAAGUGGCGUGCGCCUCAGAGUUCAAGCAAGGUGGCCCAGAGAUGGGACGCUGACCUCUCCUCUGAGAUGACGACGUAGUGUGACACUUGAAUUCAAUCAUGGACAAUUUUAUUGAAUCAUGAAAAUGUUACAUGAGCUAGAAAAGAUUGUCCAACGAGGUAGUACAUUCAUUGAUAAUAGAUUUGAAUGUGCUUAAUGUUCCAUGGAUGGGGUUGUGCCUUGCCGUCCAUGUCUUCAAUCCAGUAUGUUUUAGGUCGGAUCUCCUUCUUGAUUUUAUACGAGCCUUCCCAAUUCGGACCCAAGGUACCAGUGCUUGGUUCCUUGGAGGAGAGGAAGACUCUCCUAAGGACCAGGUCCUUGAUUCAAAAUGACUUCUUCUUCACCUUUAAGUUAAAGUACUUCAUCAUCUUUCUUUGAUAUGUGGCGAGCUUCAGCUGGCCAUCAUCUCUUCUUUCCUCAAUGAAGUCGAGGUUGCACUUUCGAAGCUUGUCGUUUGUUAUUUCACUAAAGUGCAGACGUCGUGGAGAUGGAAGUUCGACCUUGACGGGGCUUAUCGCCUCAGUUUCGUAUGCCAUGAGGAAAGGUGUUUUCUCCGUGGGGGUCCUCGUAGCGGUUCAGAUUGCCCAAAGCACUUGUGGCAGCUCAUCCACCCAGGCCCCUUUUGACACAUCAAGCUUCCUUUUCAGGACGUGUUUGAUGUUCUUGUUCACAGCCUCAACCUGGCCAUUUGCUUGUGGGUAGUAAGGUGUGGAGAAGUGCUUCUUGAUACCAAGUUCUUUACACAAACUUCUGACAUUUUUGUUGUCGAACUAUUUACCAUUGUCUCAGAUGAUUGAGUAGGGAAUCCCGAACCGGCAUAUAAUGUUCUUCCACAAGAACUUGAAAGUGUUUGCUUCUAUGAUUUUUGCCAGUGAUUUAGCCUCAACCCACUUCGUGAAGUAAUCAAUGACCAUAAUUGCAAAGCUCGCUCCUCCUCUGCCUUUUGGUAGAGGACCUAUGAGGUCCACACCCUACUUCGAGAAGGGCCAGGGGUUGGAGACCGUGGUCAAAUCUUGCGAUGGUUGUCUCUGGAUAGGAGAGAAUCAUUGGCAUUUGUCACAUUUUCGUACAAACUGGAGGGCAUCCUUUUUCAAGGUAGGCCAAAAGUACCCCUGUCUCAGUAUUUUUUGUGCCAAAGAUAGACCUCCAGAGUGGUUCCUGUAAACACCCUUGUGGACUUUCCUUAAGAUGUAUGUAGCCUCUUCUCAUCCCACGCAUCGAAGCAGUGGAGAGGAGAAGCUCCUCUUGUAGAGUACAUCAUCAAUGAAGAAGAAAUGAGCUGACCUCCUCCUUAGCUUGUGAGCUUCAUGCUUAUUAGUGGGAAGUACCUGGUCCUUUACAUAGGCUACGAUGGGCUGUAUCCAGGUAGGAGUUUUGCCUACCCACAUUACAUUGGGGGCCUCGGUUGAUGGUAUGAGGAGGUGCUCUAUUGGGACUACUCUAAGUAGUUCGGAGUCCUUGCUAUUUGCAAGUUUGGAGAGUGUAUCCGCUUGUGCAUUUUCAAUGGGGGGGGGGGAUCUGGAUCAACUCAAACUUUUCAAAGGAUGGGAUGAGGUUUAUCACCAUUUUCAAGUAGGAGGUCAUGGUUUUGUCUCUGGCUGAGAAGUUGUCGUUCACCUGGCUAACGACCAGCUGGGAGUCACUACUGAUAAGCAGCCCCUUCACUUGCAUUUCUCUGGCUAAUCUGAGGCUCGUAAGAAGUGCCUCAUAUUCUGCCACAUUGUUGGUGGCCUUGAACCCGAACCUCACUGAUUAGUUCAACUUGUGACCUUCCGGGCCGAUGAGGACAACUCUGGCACCUGAGCUGGUAUCCCCAGCCGAUCCAUCCACGAAUAAGUUCCACAUGGGGGGCUCAGUAUGUUCCAUGAUUUCAUCCACCUCGAGUAAAUUGGCAAAUUCUGCCACAAAAUCAGCCAAUGCUUGGCCCUUGAUGGCCGCCCUAACCUUGAACACGAGGUCAAAUUCACUUAGCUCCACCGCCUAUUUCAAUAAUCUUCCUGAGGCAUCAGGAUUUUGAAGUACCUGUCUCAGGGGAAACUUUGUUAGCACAUGUAUGGUGUGGGCUUGGAAAUAGGGCCUCAAUUUCCUGGAAGCAGUGAUCAAGGCCAAAGCGAGUUUCUCCAUAUCCGGGUAAUGAGUUUUUGGCGAUAUGAGUGCUUUACUCGUAUAGUAUACGGGGAGUUGGGUGGUCCCCUCUUCUCAGAUUAGAACCACACCGAUAACCUCAUUGGAGAUGGCCAAAUACAGUUGAAGAAUCUCCCCGGGCUUCGGUUUGGAGAAGAGGGGGGCCUGCCCUAGGUGUCUUUUCAGGCCUUGGAAGGCCUCUUUACAUUCCUCGGUCCAUUGAAACUUCUUUCCAACUUUCAACACUUUGAAAAUGGGAGGCAUUUGUCUGUAGCUUUGGAGACGAAGCGACUAAGUGCGGCCACUCGCAUAGUCAAGCUUUGUACUUUCUUUGGCUUUAGGGGGAUCUCAUCUUGCAUAGGGCCUCAAUCUUCUCAGGGUUGGCUUCAAUUCCGCGUUGGUUGACCAUGUAUCCUAAGAAUUUUUCGGAGGCAACCCCGAAAGCGCCCCCAUCUCCACUGCAAGGGUGAUCUUUCCUGUCAGAGUGAUGCUAUCUCCAGUAAAUUCGUACAAGGGAGUGGAGGUGGGUGUCAACUCAUGGUCCAGUAUCAUCUUGUCGAAGAUGGACCUGAAUAGAAUGUUGACAGAGCUACCGUUGUCAACUAACAUUCAUUUGAGCCCAUUCCAGGUUAUGAUCGCUCUCACCACAAGUGCAUCGCAGUGGGGGUAGUGAACUCCUUCAGCGUCUUCCUAGGUGAAGACACUAGGUGGAACUUGAUUCCUCCGGGAGCUGUGGUCCAGAAUAUAGCUGGUUAACGGGGGUGCUUAGCCUCGCGGGCGUAAUUCUUUUUAGCGUUCUGUGUUUCACCGCCCACAUAUAGGCCUCCAAACAUGGUAUCCACCUCGUGGAUAGGGGCCUCAUCCCGAGUUUGUCAAUUUCUUCGGUGUCUGCGCCCUUUCCUAGGCCUCUCUGCAUCGCGCUCCCUUCAUCGAGGGGAAACAUCCCUUCACGUCCAGGUCGGUUGUCAUACCUAGGUGGGGGUUUGUUUGCCUGGGGUGAUUCAUUUCUAUCCCUGGGGGUUCUUGUCGGGUACAUUGAGCAUUGUCUCGACAAUUUACUUUGUUGUGGCCAUAGGACUGGUGGUAUAUGCAAUAUUCGGGGAGGUUCGGAUUUGACUUAUUUCUAGGUCCUGAACCCCGGCCUCGGCCUCUCUCCCUGCGAGAUCCUUACGGAGUUCCCACCUGCUGGAUGUUAGUGACUGGGUUGAUAUCCUCAUAUGCCAAGGUAGGAACCGUGUUCAGAGUGGUGGCGGCAAGCGCUUGCCCAGAACUCUCAUUACCGACUUGGUUCAUUUGGUAAUCCAUCAAGUGGGAGGUCGGCCCUUUAGCACGCUGUCUUUGCGGAGGUGGGAGGCCUUUACUUGCCCUAUUCCUAUGCUCAAUCAAUUUUUCAUUGAUGAUCUCCCAUCUCAUCAUCUCGAGUAGGGCAUCAUAGGUGGUGGGGUCUUGAUUUUGCACGUCCCUCUAAAACAGGGUGUUCAUGCUCAGGCCUCCUCUCAGUGCAGAUAAUGCCUCACCGUCGGUGACUUGCACACAGUACGUCAUCUCAUUAGUGAAGCGUGAUAGGAAGUUCUUCCAGGACUCCCUAUGUGCCUGUCUCAUAUCUUGGAGACGUUGGAUGUGAGCCUUUUCCUCUUUGCUCAUAGCGAACCUCUUUAAGAAGGUGGUCUUGAAUUCGGGCCAACUUCUUAUGCUCCCAAUUGGUAACCUACUAUACCAAAUUUCAGCUACUCCGCUAAUUGUUAAGUGGAAAGCUCUGCAUUUCACAGCUGAGGUGGCGUCCCCUAGGCUCAUAUAAGUUUUGUAAGCAUUCAGGUACUUCUCUGGAUCGCCUCUUCCAUCAUACUUUGGUAUCUUGGGCAUAACGUAGUGGGUCGGGACCUGGGCACUCCUUAGUUCCCUUGAGAAUGGCAGGUUUUCAUCAUCAUCGUCCAAGUCAUAGGACCUCUGCUGCUCAUCUGAAUCACUUUCAUCGGCCUCAUACCUUGGUGGUUGGUGAGAGGUGCCGGGACGAUUCCUAGCCUCCUCUUCCCUCCUUUGGCGCUUAUUUCUAGGCGGUGCAGCACAAGGGGCAUUUUCAAGCCUUUCUUUCGGCUGUUGAGGCAUUGGAGGUGGGGUGUGGCCUUGUCCAAGGCUUGCGAGGCUGUUGAUGCCUAGGCAUCAGUUCUGCAGGGCUAAUUCUGUUAAAUACACUACCUGACCUCCUAUGUUUUCACUCGUGUUCAUAUGGAGGUGGAAAGUUAUCAUGGUUCAAAGGGACCUCGGUGGGUCGUCCAGAAGCGUAGUUGGAAGAAACAUCAACUUUCACUUCCCUUUCAAAUGGGCUUCUACCUCGGUUAUAGUCUGGCGAGGCAACCCUCUAACUUUGAACUUCAUCUUCUUGAUGGUAGUGCCCUUGGGGGCGUAUGGAGGAAUAGGGAAGCCUCCCUAGCCUUGCAUUUGGGCCAUAAGUUCCCUCAUAGCCAUGUUCUGGCUAGCAAUGUCCCUUAUGUUGGCUGCCAUGGCGGUCAUUUCUCUCGAUAGCCGGGCUGUCACUCGCAUUCCACCUCUUCUAUGGCAGUGGUGGAGUCGGUACCGAGUUGCUGGGGCAGCCGCUGGAGAGGACACACCUGCGUUUUCUCUUACCUUCCUGGGAGGUAUAUCUUCGUUUGAACUCAUUUUCUUUGUUUGACCUUCAGAUUUUUGCUAAGUUGUGGGGCUUCCUUUUGUUUUUUUUUCAAGAACAAAUCAUUUUUCAAUGGGGAUGCCCAAAUGUCACUCUUCAAUAAGCUUUCACCACAAGGUUGUUCGUGGUUAUUGUAUGGAUUCCCACAGACGGCACCAAUCUAUUUACCCGAAAAAAUAUUGCAAAUAGAUGCUGGACCCACCCGCGCACAUGUGAGGAAAAGUCCAACAUGCUAAGACGCGUGGACGGUCUAAAACAGAUAGAUCAACGGCGUGGGAGUAGCUCAACGGUGCGGGACGAGAACGUUCGAAAUUCGACGAGAUGUUCGUAGACCGACUGUACAAUAAUUACCAAUCGAUGUCUAUAAAUGUGUAUUUAAAUAUGUAUGAACUCGUUUGUAUUGCAAGAUAAUAAGAAAGAGACAGUUGAGUAAAGUAUGAUUUCUUGUAUUGAUUCUUGCAUUAGCCUUUGUAUGGGAUACAUGAGGGAGUAUUUAUAGUGUCACAAGUUAGACUGUGACCUUUGGUUCAGGGUACACGUGGCCUCAUCCGGUUAAUUUACAUGUCAAAUUAUAGGCAUCAACCACACCUAGCCUGCUAUACAUUUAUUGAUUGGCAGAGCCGCCUCUACUAGUGACAAGACUUAACAUUUACACUCAUGAAAAACGUCCUAUCAAUCAUUCAAGUAAGAUCUUUGUGUAGAGAUCUCUUGGAAGAAAUGUCUAUGGAAGAUGCUGCUUCGUGAUUCAGAGGCUGCUACCUCGGCUAUAGAGCUUCGGCCAAUAGGGCCUCGUCCAACUUCAAAGGGCCUCGGCAUAUGGGCUUCGGAAGCUCCUCAAGAGGCAAUGAUAGAUGGGCCUCGGUAUAUAUGGGCCUAGGCUUCUGUGGACCUCGUUUUAUGGGCCUCGACUGUGCAAAUCACCUCGGCUUGAGUGCCACUCGGUUCGGCAUGAGUUGGUUGUGGGCCCCGGUUGGUAGCCCAAGUGAGCAAACACGUAACAGUAAUUACUAUACAAUCGGUCUACGAACAUCCCGUCGAAUUCUGAACAUUCUCGUCCCGCACCGUUGAGCUACUCCCAUGCCCUUGAUCUGUCCGUUUUAGACCAUCCACGUGUCUUAGCAUGUUGGGCUUUCGCUCACGUGUGCUUGGGUGGGUUCAACAUCUAUUGACAACAUUUUUUGGGGUCAACAAUCGCUAAAGAGUCUUUACUCUUUGUUUAAGGAUAUUCGUUAAUUUUUGGCAAGUCUAGUAAAAUGUCACUUAUUUUAAAUAAAUAAAUCGAAUACUACCUAUGUGAUAAAUAAGUUGAAAAGAAUUAAGAAAUCACUGCAAUAUGAGUUUGAGAUAUCCUAUGUCGCUUAUCCUCUUAUGUUAUAUUUGAAAUAGACCUAAUUUAGAAAUGAAAUUCCUACAAUGAAAACACGUUAUUGGACCUUAUAUAUAAAUGGAAUGGAAAGGACCUAAUUUAUCAAAGUUUUAAUAACAAAAAUAGUAGGGAACCUAAUUUACCAAAAAAAUAAAAAAGAUAAAAGAUAAAAAGAAUGAAAUAAGCUAGAAUCUGAGGCCACCUCUAAUGUUAGGCCAAAGGCGUUGGCCUCACUCACCUUUAUGCAAAACCGAAUGUACAUAGAAGAAAUGAUUCAUAAGCAGGAACCUCUUAUUAAUGUCUUGAAUAAUUCUAUUCUACCAGAACUAUUCAUUCUAAAGAAAAAUUACAGAAUAGCGUAUUGUCUUUUUUAACCCUUAUUUCUAAUUUAUUUCCUUUUUGCUUACUGCUUGUUUAUAAAUUGGUAUCAGAGUCUAGUAACGAAAUUGAAGAAAAAUUUUAAGAUGUAUAGAAAAGAUAAAAUGAUUUUAGAAGAAUUACAAAAUAUCAGUAUAUUAACUAAUACUAAUCGAAUUAAAUUGCAAGAAUUAGCGACAAAUUUAUGUACUGAAUAUUCAUCCUUAAGAGAAGACAUAAAACAAAUAAAUAAUUCUCAACAAUUAGUUGAAAUAAAAAAUAAAGCAUUACAAAUUCUAGUUGAUGAAUCUUCUAAAUAUGAAGAAGAAGAUAUUAUAAAUCAAUUUUUAAAACAAUAUGGUGAUUAUGCUGAGCCUUUAGGAAAACUAAAUAUUAAUAAUCAAGAUGUCAUAACUAGUAUAAAGAAUAUGGAAUCUAAUCUAGAAAUUGUUAACAACAAUAUUAAGGUAGGACCAACAAUCUUAUUUAAACAGAUAGAAUCAAAAUUUAAAGAAUUAAAACUUAAAAAAGAUUCUUAUGUCUCUAUUGAACCACCAUUGUCGGCCUAUGUUAUAGAAGAAUUAGAAACAAAAUUCUUUGAAGGUACUGGAGAAGAAUUAGAAGCUUAUAAACAAAGUUUAGAACAAUUAGCCAUACAAACUGAAAAUAUACAUAUGAAUGAUCCUCCACCUAAAGAAGAAACUACUGAAAUUAAUACUCCACCUUUAAAUCAACAAGUUGAAAACCAGCCUUUAAUUAGAGAAAAUAGUAGAACUAAUACUAAUACAGAUUGGACUCAAAUUGAAUCUGAAGACUGGAAUUUUGAAUGGAUGAAAGAACCAAAAACUAUAUCAACUAAGAAUAUACAUCUUAGGGAUAAUAAUACAGUAAGAUUAUUUACCGAACAAAUUCCUACUACAGGAAUAUGGUUAGAUAUUGAUGAUAGUAAUAAUAAAAGUAAAAUUAUUGACUCUUGGGCAAAAGCUACUGAUUUAGCUGUUGCUUUUAAUAAAUGGAAUACAACUCAAGCCUAUAACUUUAUAAUCCACACCUUUAGAGGAAUUACUUUCGAUAUCUGGAAAAAAACUUCUGAAGAAACUAAAAAUAAAAUUAAAUAUGGCGAAAAAUCUACAACUAUUAUAGAUAGCAAUGAAAGUUUAGAUGCUGAAAAUUUUAAAGAAGUAUCAAAACGAAUUGAAAAUUUCUUUAGACACCUAUCAUUAGGAGAAGUUAUACCAGAAACUAAAAUAGAUAUGAUCACUCAAGAAACGUUACAAGCAAAAAAAGAAAUGGAACUAUUAAAAUUUUUUGAUAUGUGUGAAUUAUAUGAAUAUACUAAAAAAUUUGAAAAAAUAUAUAUCAAAGCAUCUAAAUGUAUUAAAGAAUGGAAUCUAUCAGAAGAAGAUAAAAAAUUAUUAAAUAGAUAUUUUCUUAAAUUACCUUGGCCAUGUGAUCAGAAGUUAUUUGAAGAUUACCAAAUUUAGAGGAAUAAAAUAGAAUGGGAAGACCCUAAUCACAAAGCUGAUACUUUAGGAAUGAGAACUUCAUUCGCUAAAAGAAAAAUAGCUGAAUGGAGCAAAAAUUCUAUGUACCAACACCUAUUUAGAAAACAUGGUAAAAAGGCUAGUUUAUGUUGUUAUGGAGAAAUAGCAUCUAUACCACAAUUUGGCUGUCACAAACCAUCUAAAAAACCAUAUUAUAAAAAGAAAUUUAAGAAAUAUCUAAAACCUUGGAAGAAAAACAAAGGUUUUAAAAACCACAAAAAAUAUUUUAGGAAGAAAAAACCUUGGAAUAGAGAAUAUAACCAAUAUAAGAAGCCUCAGAAGAAAUCUAAGAAAGAAUUUUAUAAAAAUGUAAAUGUUUUACCUGUAAUGAAUUAGGACAUAUCUCUCCCAACUGUCCUAAUAAAAAUAAAAGAGAAAAUAUAAAUCUAUUAAAUUAAUGUAAGAGAUUGAAUAUUAUUCAGAAUAUGAGAUACUUGAAUAUUUAGACGAAUUAUCUGAAACUAACUCAAUCUAUGAGCUAGAUAUUAAAGAAAUUGAGGAACCUGAAUACGAACAAAUAUAUAUGAAUCAAGAAAUUAUUGAUACGGUUGAAACGACUUUAGAUAGUGAAGAAGGAACUUCACUAACUGUUAUGUUUGAUGAAGAAAGAUAUGGAGCUAUAAAAGAUAAACAAAUAUCUUUAAGAGAUAAAGAUGUUUUAUUAGACCAAUACUACACUGGUUUAAUAAAACUAUAUACAUUGCCAAAUAUGACAAAGUACCUAUUGACAUAGAAAAUGUUAAGGGCAAUACUACUAUACCUUUAAUUACAAGAGAACGGGUUAAUAGAGAAUUAGCAAGUAUUAAAAGAUCCACUAGAGAAAGAUUAAAGAAUAUAGUGAUUGGAGGAAUCCUAAUCAUGAUUAAAGGAUACUUUAGAGAGGAAAUGGAUAUUCCUAUACAAAUAUAUUUAAUGGAUAACAGGAUACGUCAUGAUCCUAUGGACGCUCUGUUAGGAGUUGUCCCUGGAAAUCUUGUGUAUAAGAAAAUUAUUUUUACUAUAAGACCUAGAUUUUCCAUGUCUAUAUUAGAUGAAAACUUAAGUUUAGGAUUAAAUCUAUAUCACAAAAUUGAUAGAUUAAGUAUGCCGCCUAGAAGUAAAGCUGUAACUUUACAUUGUAAAGCUUUAUAUGCUUUUACUACUACACAUCAAAAGGAAAUCAAUAAAAUCUCAGGAGAAUUCAUAGAAAUUCAUGAAGACUUUAAAAACCUAGCACAAUUUACAUCACCAAGAAUGCUAAGUGAUUGUAACAUUUCGUUGCCACAAGAGAUACUAAUUGAUUUUCAUCAAUGAUCUAGAAGAAUAGAUAGUAAUGUAGGUAAUCAAGGAUUAGCAACUUUGAAUACUUUUGGACAACUUGUAGUUAGAAUGCCUAAUAGAAGAAUGGAAAGACGUAUCAGUACUAGAGAACUCUCAAGCUCUAGUAGACCAUCUACAAGUAGAAAUUACCCAACUAUACCUAGAAAUAGUAUUGAUAUUGAUUUAAGAAAAAGUGAGGAAGAUAAUUUCCUUAUAUUAACAGAAUAUUUCAAUAAUCAAAAUAACUACGAAAAUAUCAUAGCCCUUGUAAAUACAGAAGCUUGUACUAGCCAUAUUAGAGCAGAUUUAGUCGAUCAUUUAGUAGAAGAAAAUUUAUCACAAGGAAUAACUCUUACAUAUUAUCAUGGAAUUAAAUAUGAAAUUAAAACAUUUGUUAACCUUGAACUAAGUUUUACUGACAUAAAAGGAGAACAAAUUAAGUUAAACCUUAAAAUUCAUAAAGUUUAUAGAAAAGGAAAAGAUACUAGCCCAAUUGUAGCGAUCGAAAAAAAAAGUGUUUUGUUUCGUUCCAAAAUAAAAUUUUCUUACGGGACUCAAAUAUAAUCUGGGUCAUAUUAUUAUGUCGCUAUGACACUUCCUAAUGGUCCAAAUUAAACUUUGGUCACGAAAGUAAAAUUUCUCGUACUUGAUCUUCUUAAAUUUUACAAGGUGUUAAAAUCGUUAUUAACCGACAAAAUUUUAUGUUAAUUUGGUUACAUUAUUUUUCUUACGACACACUUUAUUAUAAUACUACCAUUUCGAUUUCCAUUAUGUAAACUAUUUUUUUAUUAUUAAUUUUUUUUUUGAAAUUGGACAAAUUACUUGCAUGUGUCAUCAUCCAUCAUUUACACUCCAACUUACCAUUUUAAUAAACUUCCAUUUUAUUUGUUGUUAACUUCAAAAGAUAUACAUUUAUAUAAAUAAAAUUUUGUCAUUUGAUCAUUGGGAAGUUAUGUGCCCUGUUUGAAGAUUAACAUUUCAAAACCAUAACCCCCCCUCCACUUUAUUAUCCAUUGUAACCUCCAAUUUUAACCAACCCUCUCUUAGUAUAUAAAUCUCCAUUUUGUUAACUGUCAACACUUAGCAUUUUGACUCCCCACUAACCAUUUUUAAUUCCCAACAUCAGACCACUUUCAUAUAGUUAUUGAUAGAUAUUAAUUAUUCCAAAUACUUCUUUAAUUUCCAAUUGGUUAACUGCUACCAUAUAAAAUAACAACCUACACGUUUACCCACCAUUUAAGCACCUAAUUAAAAUCCGACCACCACUUCAUUUGAGGAAUUUAAGUGCAUUACAUGGCCACAUCAUUUGAAAUUAAAAAAAAAAAAAACUGUCCCUUUAGUUUUUUUUUUAAAAUCAUAAGUUUGUUUUGAUAACUCAAAUUUAAAAACUUCUUUAGCCCCAUUUUCUCUCCUAAUUCUUUUGCCCAUUUUCCGUUAAACUAAAGUUCCUUGAAUCUAAAAAUUUAUUUGAAGAUGAGGCAAGAAGUACGCUGCAUUUUAGUUCUAUAUAUUGAACACGAAAAGGGUAUUCAAACUUCAAACAUUAAGGUAGGGGUGUUUUGGCGCUUUUGUAAGUGAUGAAAGACUUAUAUGUUUUUGUUUGCAUCAAACUUACUAUUGUGUUACUCAUGAUGGAAUCACCGUUUGGUGGUUUACACAAGAAAUGGAAUCACCGUUUGGUGGUUUAUACAAGGUAUGAAGAGAUGAUUAUGAUAAAUGAAAUGGGGUUAUCAAAACAUAAAAGUAAGCGGGUUGACUGAUCACCAAUUUGCUUGAAAUUGUCGGUGACGCAAUCGAAUAAAGUUUGCAUUUCUGAAAAUAUAUAUUUUCACCAUUUACUUAAGUGACGCCUACUGAGUAUUAUUUAUAGUACUCAUCCCUACAAAUAAUUUUACAGGUUAAAAUCGAGGCAUGUCAGUGGUUGGCAUAGUGGCAAGUGUUCGACGAUCUCUAAUGCUUACAAUUUCUAGUAAAUAUUUCUAUUUAUGUAAACAUUCUAUGGAUACUUAGAUGACACUUUUUUAGAAGUUUUUUUAUGUUUAUUUUGUCUAGUUUCAUAGACGAUGCAUGUUAACUAGAAUUUAGAGAUGUUGGAUUGAAUAUGUUUGAAGUUUAAAUUUAUGCUAGGUUCCUCUUAUUUGAAAAUGGUAUAACUUGGGCUACGGUGCAUGUUUUUAAGUGAAAUCAGUGGGAUUUGAAAGGCCUAUGAGUCUUCUAAUAGUGGCCUUUGUAAUUUCUCAAAAAUAUUAUCAAAAAGAAAAGUUAUGCCCGUUUUAGUAAACUGCAUUGUGUUGAAUCCGAGAUUCCUGUCUAGUAUAUUCGAGUAAUAUUUUCGUGCUUCAAACGUUAUCAUCGAAACCCCAAAUUUUUAUAUGUGGUACAUAUAUGAAUGCUUUAGUCCCUGUAAAAAAUUCAUAAAUUUUAAUAGACAUUUCCUAGGCCAAAUAUAUUUUUUCUUCUGCUGUUGUUAAAUUCGUAAUUGUCGAUUUGCCUUCAAAUCUUUUACAAAAUCUAAUUUUGUUACAUUUGCCUAAGUUUAUAUGGAUAACUACCUUCCACUAUAUUUUUAUACAAAAAAAAAAAAAAUUGAUUUAUAAAACACUUUGGCUAGCGUCAAAGGGUUAAAACCAAAGAAAGAAACGAAUAUUAUUUUAACACUUCGGGUUCCGAGAAUUUGGGGCGUUACACCAAUAUUACUUGGAAUGAACUUUCUUGAAUAGGUAUCACCAUUUUUUAUUCAGAAAAACGUACUGCAAAUAACCGUUGAAGGUAAACAAAAAAUGUUGCCUAGAGUUAAUAAAAACAAAGAAUUAAUUUAUAUAAUACAAGGAAUAAGAUCUAUCAAAACUAGUAUUUUAAGCCCAUAUAUUGAGAUAACUCUCAAUUUACCAGACUACUGAAUGAUAAGAUUUCAUGCAAUACUUAAUACUGGAUCAGGAAUUUGCCUAUGUAAAAGAAAUGUGUUCCCAAAAUACUAUUACAAAAGCGAUUAUAAGAAAACAACUUACGGACAAACAACUAGUGAUAUUGUUGAAAUAUAUAGAGAUUUUGUGGAAAAUGUUCCUAUUAUUAUAGGAAAUAGAGAAUGUUUUAUUCCAUGAAUAUUUGCAACAGAUAAAAUUGGAUGUGAUAUUCUCUUAGGAGAAAAUUUUAUCUAUACAUAUAGCACAUUUACACAAAAUAAAGAUAGUUUUGAAUUUACUACACAUUUUAAUCACAAAAUUAAAACGCCAAAAAUCUGUAAAGCAAUUGGAAUUGCACAUCAACCUAUUAACCAUAAACCUAGACAUCAGAGUUCUGCAGAUAAUCGUGGUGAAUGUUAUACAGAAAUCAAUCAAAAACAAAGAAUUCCUGUGUUAAGAAUUAACAAGUUAGAAGAAGAAUUAGAAAAUAUUAAAAUUGAAAUGAAAGAAUGUUAUCAUGAACAUCCAUUAGCCAAAUGGGACAAAGAUAAACCUAUUGCAACUAUUGAAUUAAAAAGUUUAGAUGUUAAGAUAUCAGGAAAAUAAUUUCCCUAUAGCGAAGAAGAUAGAAAGGAAUUUGAAAUACAAAUUAAAGAACUUUUAGAAUUAAGAGUAAUAAGAGAACCAUCAAGUUCAUAUAAUAGUCCUGCUUUUAUGGUCAGGAAUCAUAGUGAAAUUAAGAGAGGAAAAGCUAGAAUGGUAAUUGAUUAUAGAGAUCUAAACUCUAAAACUAUACCAAAUAGCUAUAAAUUACCUAUAAAAGAUUUGUUAAUAAAACAAAUAUAAGGAAGCAAAUUAUAUUCUAAAUUUGAUUGUGAAUCUGGAUAUUGGCAAAUAAAACUAGACGAAGCAUCAAAACCUUUAACUAGUUUUACUACUCCCAAUCCAUUAGGACAAUUCGAGUGGAAUGUUAUGCCAUUUGGAUUAAUGAAUGCUCCAGCAAUAUUUCAACAAAGAAUGGAUAAGAUUAUUAGACCAAUAAAUUUUUUUUGUGUUGCUUAUGUUGAUGAUAUCCUUAUUCAUAGUAAAAAAUUUAAAAGAACAUAUCGAACAUCUUAAGAAAUUCAAAUAUAUUGCUCAAAAAUAUGGAUUAGCCCUAUCAGAAAGAAAAGUUGAAAUAGCUAAAACUGAAAUUGAAUUCUUAAGAUAUAUUUUGACAGAAGAGAAAAUACUCCAACAACCCCAUAUUGGAAAAAAGAUUAUCGAAUUUUCAGAAAUAAUUAGAGAUAAGAAAGAGCUGUAAAACUUUAUCGGAUUAUUAAAUUAUUCUGAAAAAUUUAUAAAAAAACUGCUCAAAAUACAAAGUCCACUUUACCAAAAAGCUUAGAAAUGGAGUUGUAUUGGAAGGACACAAGAAGAUAUUGAAAUGAUAAACAAAAUAAAGAAAAUAUGUGAAAAUUUACCUAAAUUAAAUAUUCCAAAUGAUGAUGAUUUCUAUAUUUUAGAAACUGAUGCAUCUCUAUUACACUGGGGAGCUAUCCUCAAAAGAAAAGAAAAUAAGAAAGAAAUUCUUUGUAAUCCAUUUGUAAAUGUCCAGAAGAACUUAAUGCAUACACUUCAGGUGCUUUUAAGGAUGCAGAAACCAGAUAUGAUAUUAAUCGUAAAGAAUGUUUAGCUGUUAAGAAAGGAUUAACAAAAUUUGAACCUUAUUUUUUAUCAAAGAAGUUUCUUAUUAGAACAGAUAAUACCCAAGUGAAACCAUUAUUGACAAAUAAGCUUGGAACAAGUGCAGCUGAAAGGCCACUUAUUAGAAUGCAAAUGUGGUUUGCGCCAUUUAUUGUCCAUAUUAAAGGGAAAGAAAAUUUUAUUCCAGAUUUCUUAACCAGGAAUGGAGUAAAUUAAGAAGGAACUCGAAACAUUGAAGUUCGAGAUGAAUGUGAAGAUAGUUGCUAUAGAAUCCAAGAUAACAACGAUGGAAAUGGUUGCUGCAAAGCCAAUAUCUGGGAAAGCCAACAAGGCUAUAUUAUCUAAAGACCCUAGUGCCAAUAAAUUUGAAGGUUUUAAAACCAAUAUUGAACUAGAGGCAUUAAAGCUUCGUAAGCUAUCUGUCAAGGAGAAUACUACUUUGUCUCUCUCACAGGACGAAUUUUCUACGAACAAUAGUAUCUCUAUACCAGAGCUUAAUUGCUCAAAUAUUAUCAAAUCCUCUAACAUCCCUGGUGUUAUGGAUAUCAAAAAUAAAGAUGAUUUUAUUUUAGCAUAUGUAUUGUUCAAUCUUGCCUACUGUUGGCUUACCGGUAUUGGAGGAUGGAUGAAAACUCUAACGUAUGGAACUUACAACAAAGUUAAUUUUUAUCCAGGAGCCCUAGCAUAUUGGGUUCGUACUCUUUAUGAAAUGGGGAAUAUAAUUUGUAUUUACACGUCUGAAUCAUUAAAAGAAAUUUCUAUGCUGCUAAAGGAUGUUGUCCGAACUAUUGAAAGAUAUUGUCAAGUUCUUAAACACAAAAAUAUUUAUAUUAGGUUUUUCUCUGCUCGUCCUGAAUGGGAAUAUGAAGAAGACAGGUUGCUUCCAGCAAGCCAUGUUAUAAGAAUGGCUACUACUUCUAAGCAAUUCCAGCUUGAGAAGAGUGAAGUCCAUGAAACGUUACCACAAGAUUUAAUCAAAAUGAUAGCUUUCCGUAGAGCUAAAGGAUAUAAAGAGCAGUUCGAGCAUAUCCAAAAGGUUAUUGAAGAAAAACAAAAUGUUUGGGUUUAUGAGUCACAAGAUCACAUGAUUUACAAUAAAGCUGUUGCACCCACUAAACAAGAAGAUUGGCACUAUCUCAAUACAUGGUGUGAUCAUAUCUUUGAAGGACAAACUAGUAGAACAUAGAAAACAAAAGAAGAGUUGUGCAAACAGUUUUGGCGUUAUCCAAAUCAUAAGUAUGAGUGUUAUUGCAAUGAAGACGACAUCUCACCAAUCUCUUUUGACCCAUCGGAAUAUCCGGAAGAGUGGUUUGAGUCACAUAUGGAAAAGUGAAAAACCCCUUUAUCACUACUGUUAUGCUCCGAUUAUACACGCCUCGGAUACGGAAGUGUCAUCUCGCCUCCGAGGCCGAGAUCAAGUGGACCCCGCGCAGCACCACUUAUUUCGACCUAAAAAUGACCCUUCCGAAGCUUCUCCGAAGUGAUAUAGCGAUUCCUAAUACUGAUCUGCCGAAACUUCUCACCUCCGAGGUCGAGAUCAAGUGGACCUCGGUUAGAAGAUCUGUCACCAAUUUGUGAUUUGUCCUGCACCUAAGGCUUAAAUUGAUUUGAUGUCUCCAUGAGGCUAGUUGAUGUGACUUAUCAACUUUAUGUCAAUUCAACUCAGAGGAAACAAACUGUCCGUCCACUCUACAAACGCGGCUGAUUGACGCCUAUGAGCAGACGCUUCAUACCGUCAGAUGUAUACACGCGUUCCACAUCCAACGGUUCAUACCACCUAUAAAUACCCAAGGUUUGGCAAGAGGCAAAGGUAAUGAAACUCUCAAUACAUAGCACUCCAUAGCAAGUUUGUAUAUUUUCUCCUCCCCCUUUAUUGUUGAUUUGCAUAGCCCUUGGGUACUGUUCUGAUCACCCAAACCUGACUUGACCGUCGGAGUGUAUACGGCUGCUACCACCCCCGUUGGUUCCGGCCGUGUGCGCCUGACUAUUCGCUGAUUGUGCAUAGGGAGGAAUACGUGGAGUAGCUUUCAGUUGGCUACGUGGAAGGACCAAUUUCUGGGGUCAACAGAUUGGUGCCGUCUGUGGGAAGCACUCCCCAUUCGAAGUUUUGCGUUCUCCAUCGGAGAGGGUACCGAAAAACCGGCGACUAACCCUGAAAAUGGGGCAUUCUUGAAAAAGAACAAAGUUGAGUUACAAUCAAAGUUCUUACUACCCUUGAAAAAAGAGGUAGAAUGAGCUACAGUCAUGAAGACGACAAUCCCAUGAGAGAGGCCUCUAAAGAAAAGGUAGUCCAUAACAAUGUUACUCAUCAGAGAUCGCAUCACCGACGUCGUCGAGGCGGAAGAACAACCAUACUCAAUGAAGGAAUGACUUAGAUAGCUGCGGGUAUAAAAGACAUAGCAGUUUAGAAUAUGGCGAUGCAGGAACUCCUCAUGCAAGCCCAGGGACACCAGAGCUAUCAAAGGCCCCAAGGAUCUUAUCCGGUGCAGGAAAUCCCUUUAUCCCACUCUCAGGGCCACACGAGCCGGCAUACAAAAUGCCCAUUCGAAAGGGAGAUGAACGUCAAAGCAACAUCUUAUGUGCAAGGGAGUCAGUCAUCAGAACCACGCAAGAGGGACAAUUUCCCUCAAGAACACGACGACCAAAGGUCAGUAAGCAUCUUCGAUCGGAUAGGGGAGGAUCCUAGCAAUAGGGUCCACCCAGCAAGAGGAUCAGUUCGUCCGGAUCACGAACAAGAACAUGGUCCCCCUCUUCCUCCUAGAAAUAAGAGAGAGAGGAGAAACCUAGUCGAUUGGGGGAGUCGAGGAGAAGCACCUCCAUCUCCCCAAGACAUCCAAGAUGAUGAAGGGUCAGAGGGGCCCUGUCGAUCUUAUGAGAUUGACGAUGAUGACGAUAACCUCCCUUUCUCAAGGGAGAUUCAAAGCUUCCCAAUGCUAGCUAACUUCAUGCCCCCUAAGAUCCCCAAGUAUGAGGGAAAGAGGGAUCCGGAGAAGCACCUCACAAAGUAUAUGACACAAAUGAGCCUUAGGGGAGCCUCGCCUGCUCUAAAAUGCAGAGCCUUCCAUUUAACACUAGGCGGAGCCGUCGAGGUAUGGUACAACAGGCUUUCUCCCCUAAGCAUCAGAAGUUGGCCAGACUUGAAGAAAGUAUUUUUGAACCAGUACCUCUCACGCAGGGAAGGAGAGGCACCAAUUCAACGCCUGCAAGACAUGACGCAGGCCCCUGGGGAGACGCUAAAAAGCUAUCUCGCCAGGUUUACAGACGAAAUUACUUACUGCGAACUGGUCACUGACAGGGAAGCCCUUUCAGCCCUGAAAGGUGGGCUCAACAUGAACACUUUGUUCUGAAGGGACGUGCGCAGCAAGAAUCCCUCCACAUAUGACGAGCUGGUGGAAAUGAUGAGAGUGGAAAUUGUUAGUGAAGAAAUGAUUGAUCAUCGCAACCGUGCCGCACAGAGACUCCCUCCUCCUCAGAGACAGGUAGGUCGAAGCUCCGCAGCACACCUUGUUACUUAGCAAUGGACCCAAGCAGGGCAUACCAUAGCUCCCACAUCCGGACAGGCCCUAGCUUCCGCCACAUUGAAUGCAGUGCCGGUGUUGGCAUAUGAUAAUGCCCCUGCUGAAGCGGGACCAUCUGGAAGAACUGAUAACAAUAAGAAGAAGAAAAAGAGGUCAAACAGACCCUUGGCAGGAGCAAGGUUUUGUACAUUCCAUCAACUAUACGGACAUGACACUAGUGAGUGUCGUGAUGCCAAUCGGCGCCCUAAUCGAAGCAACCCUCACAUUUCUAGCAGAAACGAACACCCUCGCAGAUCCACCUCCCCGAGAAGGGGAGGGAGAGGUCACCAGGAACAAUCUCCUCGUAGAAGAGAAUCGAGGAAUCGAGGCCAAUCCAGGCAGGGAAAGCAAGCCCAAUUUUCGGGAGGCCAGGUCAUCAGGGAAAUCGAUACCAUCAUUGGGGGACCCCACAUCGGUGGCAACACCAGGAAUGCCCAGAGAAAUUACACAAGAGAAACAAAGGAUCCCCCGAUGAUCACUUACUUUUUAACGAAUCGAAAUCAGCAAACAAGAUGGCCCGGAUCACCUUCUCCCAGGAAGACUCAGAGGGAGUUCACCAUCCCCAUUGCGAUGCUUUGGUUGUAAGAGCCGUAGUAGCUAGAAAUGGAUUAAAACGCAUGCUCGUUGACAAUGGCAGUUCCGUGAACAUAUUGUUCGGCUCCACUUUUGACAAAAUGCAAAUUGAACAUGGGUUGAUCCCCAUGAACGACCCACUGUUCGGAUUCACUGGGAACAACAUCAUCCCACGAGGGCGGAUCACCCUGCCCUGUCGAAAUGGGUUCGGCACCCCUAGUAGCCCAGCAUUUCAUGGAAUUUUUGGUGGUAGAUCAUAGAUCGGCUUAUCAUGGAAUAUUGGGCUGACCCGCUCUGAAAGAUCUUUGGGCUGUGACGUCCAUUCACUAUUUGUGCAUAAAAUUUCCAAUCGAACAUGGGAUUACAACAGUCCGGGGCGAUCAGAUGGGAUCCAGGGCAUGCUACCUAAACUUGCUGUGCAAAUCCGAGCCCCGAACUGUUAAUGUAAUCCUAGCCGAGGUACUCGCUGAAGUCGGUAUGGAUGUGAAAAUGCUCGACGCCCCUGAACAAGGGCAUACUUCUGAACAAGAGGGAGAUGUCGACAUGGAAGAGGCACCCUCUUGAUGAGUUAGACCCCCGAAUAAUUGAUUAUGAACCAAAUGCGACCCCCAUGGAAGAAUUGGAAACUUUCCCCGUCAACCCGGAAGACCUCAAUCAAGUCUUGCGUACUGAAGCAAAAAUUGAGAUGAUACGUUUCCUGAAAGGGAACCUGGAUGUCUUCACAUAGAAACAUGAAGAUAUGGUGGGAAUAGAUCCUAGGAUCAGUUGCCAUCACCUUAACAUCAACCCCUCCUAUGCUCUCCAUAGACAGAAGAGGCGUGCCCUAAACCCGGAACGGUACGAGGCUCUGAAAGACGAAGUAAGCAAACUUAGCCGCAGUGGUUUCAUCAGAGAGGCCAUAUAUCCGAGGUGGAUAUCCAACCCGGUUCUGGUGAAAAAGUCCAGCGAAAAGUGGAGGGUAUGCGUGGACUUCACAAACCUAAAUAGGGCGUGCCCCAAGGACAGCUUCCCACUUCUGAGAAUUGAUCAACUUGUGGACUCUACUGCUGGGCAUGAACUACUGAGUUUCAUGGAUGCAUACUCAGGGUACAACCAGAUACCCAUGUUUUGACCUGACGAGGAAGCUGCAUCAUUCAUUAUGGACAGGGGCCUGUAUUGCUACAAAGUUAUGCCUUUCGGAUUGAAAAAUACCGGGGCCACAUACCAGAGGUUAGUCAACAUGAUGUUUGCUAAACUCAUUGGCAAAACUAUGGAGGUCUACGUAGAUGACAUGUUGGUCAAAAGCCUCCAGGCAACCGAACACGUGAGUCACAUCGACCAAACCUUCCAGGUACUUAGAAAGUAUAAUAUGAAAUUGAAUCCCCUCAAGUGCACCUUUGGAGUGGCAUCAGGCCAGUUCUUGGGAUAUAUUGUAAAUUAGAGAGGAAUUGAGGCAAAUUCGGUGAAAGUAACGGCCUUACUAGAAAUGAGGUCACCUCAGAAAUCGAAGGAGGUCUAAAGUCUCAAUGGUCGGAUAGCCGCAUUCAGCCACUUUAUCUCCAGAGCCACUGAUAAAAGCUUGCCUUUCUUCAAUGUACUGAAGCAAGGAAAGAAAUUCCAAUGGACUUCGGAGUGCGAAGAAGCCUUCGAGGCUCUGAAGAAGCACCUUGGGGAAGCACCCCUCUUGUCAAAACCUCAACCGGAUGAAUCUCUAUUACUGUAUCUAGCAGUUUCAGACGUGGCAGUCAGCGCAGUCCUAAUCAGGGAAGAAAAUGAGCAUCAAUUGCCAGUGUACUACAUCAGCAAAGCACUUCUCCCAGCUGAAACACGCUACCCAGACAUGGAAAAAUUGGCACUCGCACUUAUUACAGCCUCAAGAAAGCUGAGACCAUAUUUCCAAGCCCACUCAAUACAAGUUCUCACCAAUUUCCCUUUAAAGUAGGUAAUGCAGAAAACAGACGCGUCAGGAUGCUUGCUGAAAUGGGCCAUCGAGCUCCGCAAGUUCGAUCUAACGUUCCAACCUAGACACGCCGUCAAGGGCCAGGCCCUUGCUGAUUUUAUGGUUAAGUUUACCAAAGCCCCAGAAAUGGAGGUGAUAAUGGAACCAGCCGAGCCCCCCACAUGGAAACUAUUCGUAGAUGGGUCCUCAGGAGAGGUGGACGCAGGGGCAGGGAUCGUGUUGGAGAGCCCGGAAGGCCAUAGGUUAAAUUGUGCGGUAAGGUUCGGCUUCAAAGCCUCGAGCAAUGUAGUCGAAUACGAGGCCCUUCUGGCAUGUCUAAGGCUCGCUAAGGAAAUGCAGGUCAGGAAGCUCCUAGCGAGCAAUGACUCUCAGCUCAUAGUAAAUCAGGUAAAUGGGAAUUUCGCAGCCAAAGAUGGUAACAUGCUUGCGUACUUGAAGUUGGUUCUGAACAUAAUUUCCCAUUUUAAAAGGUUCGAACUGACUCAAGUCCCCGUCUAGAAAAUGCACAUGCAGAUGCCCUCUCAAAAUUAGCCAGCAGCAUGGACUCAGAGCUGCUAAACACCGUCCCCAUUGAGCACUUAUCAAAGCCCUCCACCUCCGAAGGCGAAGAGGUACUGUAGAUAGAAGGCACCCCAUUAUGGAUGCAGCCCAUAAUCGAGUACCUGAAGGAACAAACACUGCCUGCUUCCAGAGGCGAGGUGAGGAAAUUAAGGGGAAGGGCUGCACACUUCGUCCUACACGAAGACACCCUUUACAAGAGAGGCUUCGCUUCGCCCCUUCUUCGAUGUGUAGGUGGCGAAGAGGCCACAUACAUACUAAGAGAAAUACAUGAAGGAAUCUGUGGAAAUCACUUCGGAGGAACGGCUCUGGCACACAAGGUUCUCCGUCAAGGCUACUUCUGGCCGACCCUAAAAAGGGAUGCUUGCCAAUUUGUCUAGAAAUGUGACAAGUGCCAGCGCUUCUCAAACGUACAAAGACAGCCUGCUCAGAGCCUUUCUAUAGUAACCAGCCCUUGGCCAUUUGCCAAGUGGGGCAUUGAGCUCAUUGGUCCACUCCCAAAAGGGAGAGAGAGCGCAACUUUCGCUAUUGUCGUCAUUGACUACUUCACUAAGUGGGUCGAGGCAGAACCCCUUGCCUGAAUUACCGAGGCUAAUACUACCAAGUUCGUUUGGAAAAACAUCAUUUGUAGAUUAGGCAUCUCUCAAUCCUUAGUCUCUGAUAAUGGACGGCAGUUCCACAAUAGAAAGAUGCGAGACUUGUGCGACGAACUGGGCAUAAAGAAGGACUUCUCGACACCUCAUCACCCCCAGGCGAAUGGGCAAGUUGAAGUAGUAAACAAGACUAUCAAGCACACCUUGAAAAGGAAACUGGUUAUCUCAAAAGGGGCCUGGGUUGACGAACUCCCCCACGUCCUCUGGGCUAUCAGGACUACUUGCCGAACUACAACCGGUGAAACCCUGUUUUCCAUGACCUACGGAGCCGAGGCAAUGAGUCUGGUCGAAGUUGGGGUCCCAUCACAUCGACAGAUACAUUUCAAUGAGAUCAGCAACGAUGAGGCCCGAAUAAGUAAACUACACCUCCUUGAGGAAAAGAGAGAUACCUCCGAAGUGACCUUGGCCAAAUACCAUCAAAAGAUGACCCGCUAUUACAACUCAAAGGUUAGAAAUAGAACUCUCCGCUUGGGCGACCUCGUCCUCAGAAGAGUUUUCCAAUCUUCAAAACCAAUCGGGUCAGGAGUGUUCGGCCCAAACUGGGAAGGCCCCUACCGCAUCCGAUGGGAAACCUGACCUGGUACCUUCGAAAUCGAAGAUAUGUUGGGAAGGGCGCUGCCUCAUAAGAGAACAUCGAACACUUGAGGAAGUACCACCAAUAAUGAGACUGUGUUCCAAUCUGUUCUCAAUAUGUUAUACUGAGUUGAUUGUCCUGAUCUGAUCUCAGUUAUAAAAUUCCCUAAGUGAUGGAAUCGCCUUUGUAAAGGGUGGUGUAAUCUAUCUUAGUAAUGAAUUUUUAGUUCUAAGCCACAUCAGUUAGUGAAUAGUUUCCUCAGUACAUCAGAAGGUUCAUUUAAGCGAUCCGAUCGUCAAUUAUUAGCUGAUUAACAUCAAGAGGCUCUUUAUGUUUGCCUAAUUGGUCUGAUCUCAGAUUAUUAAUAAGUUGGCAUUAAGAACCGCUUCAUACUCGCUUAAGUGUUUAAACUUAUGUUAACUUAAACGGUCUGGUCCACAGUUAUUAAUUGGUCAUUGUCGCGAGGCAAUUAGUCUAACGUUUGUCGUUCAUGAAAGAAUAAACAAAGAAAAUACAAAGAAGCAGAAGCCCAAAUACUUAACAAAAAUUUUUCAUUUCAUUCCAUAAAUUUGAGUACAGUGGGGCCGAAGCCAUUACAAGAUAACCCUAAUCUGUUGGAGGGACUUCAGCACUGACCACCUCCUGGGCCUCCGGAGCCUCCUCGACAACCUUAUCAGGCCGACCUCCAGUUGGCCCCUCAAACUCUGCCUCCAAUGGAGAGAUGUCCAGAGUAGGAUGUACCUCCUUCAGUCGACCCAGUGAGCUUUGGGCACUCCAUGAGGCCCAGAAGUUAGCGAAGUCGUCGUACAGGGGAUGGUCUUCGAAGUGGUUAAUAAAGUUCUGGACUGCCACCUCCCCCGGAGACUUCAAUUCCUCCUUCAAAGAGCCAAUCUCCUCUGACUGGGCCUCUGUCUGCUGCCUCAGCUCUGCCUUUGCUCUGUUGGAGGCCUCCAGAGCAUCGGUGGCGAGCUUGUGGUGCUUAUUGGCGUGAUCAAGUUGCCGAGUCACAGCAGCCACUUGGCAUUCCACCUCAUACAGCUCUUUCUUCAGCCGCUCCACUUCUGUUUGCGCAACAGUAAGCUGGGCCUCAGCAGCUUUCUUCCCUUCCUCUGCCUUUGUGGCUUUGGCCUGAGCCGCCCGCACUGCAUCCCCAUAAUGCAUCGCCUCCUCGAGGUGCUUGGCGAGGUCCUCCCUCUUAGAGUUCAGAUCCUUCACCAAGCCCUCAAGCUGGAUGCUUGUGCUUAGGGCUCGAGCCACACAGGCGCUGAUCGCGGCCACCAGAUCCUCAGCCGUGCAAGAGGCGGUGUGGUCCCUCCACUCUUCUAUCCAGUAUUUAUUGUGGACCACCGCCACCGCAACUGUUUUGGGAGGAAGAGCCUCCAACACCUCCUUUACGGGCUCCUCAGGAUUGGUGCCCAAGAAAUCGACCUCCUUAGAGGGACGGGGCCUUUUUCUCCUCUGCUGCCUCGGAGCUUGAUCAAUGGGCACUGCAACAAGGGGUGUUGUGUCUGGGGCAGCGACAUGCUCAGUUGGAGCGGGCUUUCUCUCCGGGAGGGCCACCCCCGUGGGAAUUGUGGUCUGCCUCAAAGCUGGGGGUGGCCUCGCCACAGUUGGGCGUCUGGGAGGGGCAGCACUCUUCUUGUCCUUCCUUCGGAGGUCAGCCUCCGGGUUCUCCGGUACUUCCUCCUCCGUCGGAGGCUGGAGCCUCUUACUGGCCUCUACCAGCCCCUCCAUUUGUUUUUUGUACGAGGAGGAGGAGGCCUUCAACGCCCGUGCCUCAACCAUCAUCUUCUGGAAGGUCUUGAAGUCGGGGCGCACCGACAGCUUCUUGUUAAAGUUGUCUGCAAAGAAACAAAUAAGGAAUUAGUACAAGUCUUGGGAGUUCGGAAUAAAAAGUAAAGACUUCGGUCCUAUUACCUUGAGACGCCAUUAAAUCAUGAGUAAUAAAAUGGAUGUUCUUUCGGAUCAGCCUGUGGUAGGACCUUUUCUUCUGAGGCAGCUGAUAAAUGACACAGAUGGUGUCGAAGUCCUCCGUUAACAGCUCGCACCGAGGAAGAGAACCUACAAAGGAAACAUAACUGUUAGACACAAUUCGAACCGAAGAGAAAUAAAAGAAGCAACUACUGGGGGUCCCCAUCCAUCGUGUCCCAUCGCCCUACUGCCCAGCACGAUGAGCUCUUCCAUUCUUUGAUGGAGCUCGACAGAUCGACCACGAAUGGAGUGUGGGAACCCCAUGACGUAAGGUAAUGCCAACCCCGGGUCUUAUCUCCCCCGGCAGUAACCUUGGGAGUAUAGAGGGUCUGGAAAAUGGAAAGGGGCAUCUCCACCCCUAAUGACGCCUCUUUCCACAACAUCCAGGAGCCCACCAUCUGGCUCCAGGAGUUCAGAUUGAGCUGCGUCGGGGCUAGCCCAUAGGACCUAAGCACCAACCUAAAGAAUGGGUAGAUUGGCACCCUAAGUCCGGCCCUAAGGAUCGCCUCACUAAUGGCCACACAGCCCGGCCUAGGGUAGCAGGCUCUCUCUUCCGGCCCGGGGAGGAUUAAGUCUACGCUGUCAAGGAUCCUAUACUCUGUCCUAAGUCUCCCUAGGUCGGCCUCCCUUAAUUUUGAUGGGUAGUCCGACGCCCCCCAAUGCACAGAGGUAUUUGGUGGGCUAUCCGAUCGUUUUCAUAUGUUCUCCCCCCCAUUGUUGCCCCAGCUAUUUCUGAGGAGGUCGCCACAAUGGGCUCGUCCACCCUCACUAUUUCUAAACUCCUCCCCGAACCAGAACUCCCUUCUGAGGCCAUUCUUUAAAAAAUUUAAAAGUUUAAAUAGGUGCUGAAACUUAUGGGUUUGGAGGUUUUCCUAGCCGAAAAUGGUGUAAAGUCGCCGGAAGCGUAGUUUUUCUCGCCCGAAGUCUAGUUUUUCUCACUGGAAUUGCUUGCAAAACGCCGAAAAUUGCCAAAAAUUUGAGAGCAAAGUAUAAUCUUAGUUUUGCAAGGGUAGAAAGCCUGAGAAAACCCUCGAGUCCUCCUUUUAUAGAAAAACAAGUCCGAUCUUCACCGUUGAAUUCAAAUGCGAUCAAUCUAAGCCGUUCGUCGCAACCUCAAUCUAGGCCAUUGAAAUGAAACGCCAGAUUUGAUCUACGCCCAAGAUGUCGCUGUGACUUUCACGCUUACUUGAAACGCGUCACCUCGGUUACAACCAGCCGUCAAUAAUAAUUAGUAGCUGCAGCAGCCUUUUAGGAGAAUGGGCAUGGCACCCAACUGUCACCUUGAAAACACGCAACAGUUGUCAAAUCAUUUGAUGUUUGAGUCGCCUCGGAUUGAGCUCCUCCUCCAACUUUACAAAGUUUGGAGUCACCUGACGCGAAGGCCUUAUUGGGUCAUCGCCUCGGAUGCUGCGUUUCCUCCCAUACUUUACAAAGUUUCAGCCAUCUCCCAAUGCGUUGACCUUUGGGGUCAGCGCACCGGUGGCAGAUGAGCUCCUCCUUCAACUUUACAAAGCUUGGACGCACCUGACGCGAAGGCCCUUUUGGGUCAUCGCCUCGAACGCUGCGUUCCCUCCCAUGAUUUACAAAGUUUCAGCCAUCUCUCAACGCGUUGACCUUUGGGGUCAGCGCACCGGUGGCAGAUGAGUUCCUCCUUCAACUUUACAAAGCUUGGACGCACCUGACGCGAAGGCCCUUUUGGGUCAUCGCCUCGAAAGCUGCGUUCCCUCCCAUGAUUUACAAAGUUUCAGCCAUCUCCCAACGCGUCGACCUUUGGGGUCAGCGCACCGGUGGCAGAUGAGCUCCUCCUUCAACUUUACAAAGUUUGGACGCACCUGACGCGAAGGUCCUUUUGGGUCAUCGCCUCGGAUGCUGCGUUCCCUCCCAUGCUUUACAAAGUUUCAGUCAUCUCCCAACGCGUCGGUCUGUGGGGUUAGCGCACCAUAUUCGCGAAGCUUCAAUGCACCUUACGCGACGUCCCAUGCCGGUUCACCGCCUCGUACGCUACGCACAAUAAUGAAACUUUGACACAUCUGCCUAUUAUUAUAACCUCGAUCGCUGCAGUAGAUCAACCCCCAAGACUCCCAUGACUUGCGGUCCGAUCAGGAAAGCAAGUCCACGCAUGAUAUAAAUAUUCAUCCCCGGACUUGGGGAACCACUGUUAUGCUCCGAUUAUACACGCCUCGGAUACCAAAGUGUCAUCUGGCCUCCGAGGCCGAGAUCAAGUGGACCCCGCGCAGCACCACUUAUUCCGACCUGAAAACGACCCUUCCGAAGCUUCUCCGAAGUGAUAUAGCGAUUCCUAAUACUGAUCUGCCGAAGCAUCUCACCUCUGAGGUCGAGAUCAAGUGGACCCCGGUUAGAAGAUCCGUCGCUAAUUUGAGAUUUGUCCUGCACCUAAGGCUUAAAUUGAUUUGACGUCUUCAUGAGGCUAGUUGAUGUGACUUAUCAACUUUAUGUCAAUUCAACUCAGAGGAAACAAACUGUCUGCCCACUCUACAAACGCGACUGAUUGACGCCUAUGAGCAGACGCUUCAUACCGUCAGAUGUAUACACGCAUUCCACAUCCAACGGUUCAUACCACCUAUAAAUACCCAAGGUUUGGCAAGAGGCAAAGGUAAAGAAACUCUCAAUAUAUAGCACUCCAUAGCAAGUUUAUAUAUUUUCUCCUCCCCCUUUAUUGUUGAUUUGCAUAGCCCCUGGGUACUGUUCCGAUCACCCAAACCUGACUUGACCGUCGGAGUGAUACGGUCGCCACCACCCCCGUUGGUUUCGGUCUUGUGCGCCUGACUAUUCGCUGAUUGUGCGCAGGGAGGAAUACGUGGAGUAGCUUUCAGUUGGCUACGUGGAAGGACCAAUUUUUGGGGUCAACAACUACUUUAUAAAAAAAACACGUUGAUAAAGAAAAACUGUGGGUUUACCUCAAUUAUUUUUCAUAUUACGACAAGAAAACUUUAGGCCACAGUAAGAUAUCCAAUAUCUUACACAAUUAAAGCAACAAUAAUGAUGGACAACUGUGAAACUUUUCAAGUCUAUAAAUUGAAGACUAAUUCUCAGAAGGAAGGCAUCGAGUCUUAAAUAAAAAAUUUAUCUCUCUACCUUGUUUUUCAAAUCUUGUAGCAAUUUUAGUUUCUUUCUUUGAAGUGAAGUGUGUAAUAAAGUAAUCUCUAUGGAGUUCUAAUUUCCUUAGAGAAAGUACCAAAAGUUUAGCCGAAAUAUGUAUGUAUUCUCUUAUAUAAGAGAUAUUAGUGUGAUGUGUUUAUAAAAUGGAGUUGUUUUAAGAUACUGUCUUUUUAUCAUUAUUAUUUUCUCAAAAACUCUUAUCUUGCUUAUACUCCAAUGGUGAAAAUCUUGAGGGUUAGUGCAAGUAUCUUUUUGCUGUGUUGCCAAAUAUUGGCUUUUUAAGCUUGUUAGAGAAAGUCGUAAGAACCCUGUUACCAGUCAAGGUAAUGUUUUAAGAAGGAGUUGAAAGGAAAACUGUGAUUCCGUGUGAUCCAUUGUGAAUAUGCAAAAGAAUAAGAGAGAAAACCAAUAAGUGUGCGGAAGUCGUGUUGGACCAUAACCCACUUUCUUAAAUUCAUAUUACACCAAUCACUUAUCUUUGAGUAUACAAACAUAUGGGUGCAAGCUCGAGGGAAAUCUCAUUGAUAUUAUUCUGUCUUUACCUUCUACUUCAAUACUGUAAGAUCUUUCUUAUUUAUGCUAAUUAUUUGUUUUAAUAAUUGUCUUCCUGUUAUUUACCAAGUUUAAGUAACUUUUAUUUAAUUAAAUUAUUUUAUGCUUAAACGUUGUAGAAAUAUAUUUGCUUUUAAUUUAGAUUAAUUGCCAGCUCAUCUUUAGAAUCUCUGUCAACUAGACUUAGCAGCACCCUUCAUUCGUCAACCGCUAUGUCAUUCUGUGAAAGUUCUGUAAAGGUUCAUUCUGUACAUCUAGCACGAUCGUAAUGUCUUACGUCUUUUGGUCUUGUUUUCAAUAACAAAUUCGAGGUUGCCAAAAAAGAAUUUUGUCUAUUUAAGGCAAGUCGGGUUAACCAUUUGGUUUUCAUUUUCUCAAGACUGUGUUCCUCUGUUUGAUAUGGGUAUCAUCUUUUGAGAAAUUUUGAACUCAGCUUCAUCCUCUUGAAUUAGGAAAGAGCUUCUUCACAGCAAUGGUUUUGAGCAUAAUGCUACCUUGAAUAACUUGGAAGAAGCUGGGUUGUUCAGAAAACAGGACGAGUUAAUAUUUCUCUCUGAGUGCUGCUCCAACUAAUCAAGUUUUCAAAAAAAAAAAAAAAAAAAAAAAAAACCUUGUUGACUAAGUUAAUUAUUCUAUUUAUGGCUUGCAGGAUACAAAGAGCAAUUGGCUGACUGUCAAACUUGCUUUGUAAACUUGUAGACUUGUAGUUGAGGACACAGACACCACUAAAUACUGUUUAUCUUCCUGUUUAUUUUGGGAGAAAAAAUUACUGGUCCGCGGAUCCAGGCACGGGCUCGACCUUGCUAUAGCUCAUGUUUGCCCUUGAAAAUGUCUAAUUUUUUCUUAGUUUUUAUUUUAUUUUUUAAAGAUAAAUCCAUGUAUAUUUGUAUUGUAACCUGUGUCCAAACUCAACGCUGAAUCCGCCACUGUACUGGUCUACUAAUGUGGAAUUGCUUACCGCUAACUUUUAGGUAUUUAACUAUAUUUUGUUGAUUGUGUUCUUGAAGAAGUGUCUCAUUAUGCCUGUCCUUCAAAAGCUCUGUGAAGAAAAUAGGAGUUAAAAAAGAAGAUAAGCUUUCAUUCUAUAGGGCUACUAUGUAUUGCACAAUUAUGUUUAGACUUAAUUAUGAUCUGCUUCUCUUAGGCUUAGUAUUAUUCAUUGUCAACUUGGGAUUAUUUCUUUUAUUGAGUGGAUCACUAAACUCUUCUAAACAACCUGAUUAGUCUAGGUUGGGCCUUAGCUGGGAAUGCCUACGGACAUUACUUUGUACUUGGACUUGGUCCUCAGUAUCCAAAAAAGUUGCAAGGGUGAUGUAAUUCUUGAUAAAUUCUGUUAGCUCUUGGGAUAAGAAUUGAUGUGGUUUGAGUACAGGAGGAGCUUUAUCCUCAGAUAAUGCACAUUAAUAGGAAGCUUGGUUUUAUUAAUUAAUGCUCUAAAGGUUUUGGGAGUCUAAGGCUAGAGAGUUUGUGUAGCAUAGCCUUUUAACAUAUUGCUCAUAAAUUCAGUGGCGAAUUCAGGAUCGAAGAUCAGCUACGGCGGAAGUUGCUGUUGACCAUUGACGAUCGUAAUAGCGAGUCGUUUGUUGAAAUUGGUUCUAAUGUUUGCAUUCUUAUCCGUUUCCCCUUCUUAUAACUCUUGUAUAGUUCUCACUCUGGCUCUGUUGCGAGAGAGCAACUGAAGGGCCCUAUAAACUUUUCUUAACGUAAAGAACCUGUAUUUUAUUGUUUUCAGAGGCGUCCAGUGGCACAAGGGAUUAUGAGCACUGUUAUGAUUUAUCUUACUAUUGAACCGUAAAAGUUAGUGCUCCACUAUUUGUUUCUUUGAUGUUCUUUUCAUCUAACUGAUGGAUUUAUCCACGAAUAGUCCAAAUGAUAUUUUCUAUGUGUUCAAUGGAUACGCAUCUCUCAGCACACGCCUUGUUCAGCAUGCUAUACGAUCUGGAUGGUGAGCCUUCUUCUGUAAAUGAUCUAUUAUCACAAGUACCUAACUCAUAUUAUCACAAGUAAUCAUAGGCACUUUAAUUUCGCAUACUCAAUAAUAAAUAAAUGCUAUAAGCAAACAUAAUUUUAUUCGGUAAAAAAUAAUUUUUAUUUUUAUAUUUGCAAAACUAUACCAUAUGGGUACACAACCCAACAAAUAUGAUACAAAUUAAAUGCUUGUUUGGAAAAACUUAAAAAAUGGAUUUAUAGUCAAUAAUUAAUUUAAUCGUAUGUUUUAUGUGGCUUAUAACUUUUAUCGAAUUUUCAUUAUUAAAAUCUGUCAAAAUUUAUAUUAAAAGUUUUGCCAAACAACCCCUAAGACAAUGUUUCGUGAAACUUCUAUAGUUUUUCUCUAAACGUGUCUAUAAAAUUCUAUUUUUUCUACCUUCGAAAAAUAAGUUCUUACCUUUAUAUUUUCAAAUUUACUUAAAUAAGUUUAGCCAAACAUACAGUCACAAGUGGCCACAUUUUUUGGACCUUUUAACUCUGCAGCUUUCUAUUUUAGAUAAGAUAUUUAUUAGCAGAGAAACUGCCAAAUCCUCUGCAAUGGCGACGAAUUCAUCAGAUUACGGAGCUUACACUGAGAAAUUCACUCUGCAACCUCCUUCAUCUCAUCAACUUCCACUAACUGGGCUCAUAUUUGCUGUCAAAGAUAUGUCAGUCUCUUCGACAGCUUUUAAUAAUAUAUGCUUUUUAUUUCAAAAUAAUUAACAAUUUUUCUCCCCAGAUUUGAUGUGGAUGGGUAUGUGGCUGGUUUUGGGAAUCCGGACUGGGCGAGGACGCAUUCUGCUGCUGUAUCAACUGCUCCGGCUGUUUUGGAUAUGCUCAAGGCAGGUGCCACGUGUGUUGGAAAAACUGUAAUGGAUGAAAUGGCUUACAGGUUAGAUUAGAUAAUCCUCCACUUCUGAUAUGUCGAAUUUCCAAAUGUUGGCAGGAUAUUACUUGUCUGCACUUAUUGUCCUGAAUUGUUCAAUCAAAUCCAAGUAUCAUUGAACUUCCAAUAGCUAAUAUGAUAUUUAAUUGUGCAUCUGUCCAGAAACUUUUUUUGAUAUCAGAUGAUGAGAGAUCAUGAAUAUAUAAUCAGGCACUGUUCGGCCAAGAAAAUUGGAGAGGAUAUCUAUGGAAACUGAAACUUUGGUUACGGCCAAAAUCCCCAAGUUCCUGAUCAGUAAAAAUGAAAAAGAAAAAGGCUAAUGCCUAGUGUGCGUUUAUCAUAAAUGAAAAAAAAUGAGAAAAAAAAUAAAAUAAAUUGAAGUCUGCAACUAAAAUAAUUGCAAAAAGAUUUCAAUAAUUGAUUGCAUUCAACUAUGAACUUUCCUUUUGGACGUUCACUCCAUACUCGGAGUUCCUGUUAGUGCGGAAACGAAGUGUUGAAGAAAAACUUGAAUUUUUAUUGAUAGUUUUUGAGUUGCUACAGCACACUCAAUAAUAUUUUCUUCUUUUUUUUCUUUACAAUGAGACUACAAGAAUGACCUCUAUUUAUAGGACCACAUGGAUAACUCUAGAGACAUGGGAAUAUAAAUGGACACCUAAUAAUUCAUGAAUUUGCAUCAUGUAUUUUCCUGAUACAUUUUCUUCAAGUGCAUGUAACCUUAUUUAUUUCCUAAUAUUACAAAUUAAUGCCAUAUUUAACACCCCCUCUUAAUUUGUAAUCUUGAGUUUUUCCUUGAUCUUGUCGAACUUGUCAAAUGUGACUGCCUUUGUUAAAAUGUCUGCUGGCUGAUCAUUUGUGUUGAUAAAUUCCAUGCAAAUUUCUUCUCGACUUACCAAAUCUCGAAUGAAGUGAUGACGUAGUUCAAUAUGCUUCGAUCUGGCAUGAAAAACUGGAUUUUUUGUCAUAGCAAUUGCUGACAUAUUGUCGCAAUGUAUUGUUGUUGGCUCUUGUUGUUCAAACAUCAAGUCUUUUAGAAUUCUUCUAAGCCAAACUGCUUCACAAGCGGCAUCCGCAGCUGCAAUGUAUUCCGCUUCUGCAGAAGAUAGUGCUAUAGACCUUUGCUUCCUCGAACUCCAUGAAAUAAUAUUUGUUCCAAGACAAAAGAUGUAGCCCGAUGUACUUUUGCGGUCAACAAGUGAGCCUGCCCAAUCACUGUCAGUGUAGCCAACAAGGUUGAAGUUAUUUUCCUUUUUGAACUCAAUGCCUUGAUUUUUGCUUGGUUCAUUCAUGAACCUGGAAAGUAAACUCACUGAUUGAGUGAUAUCCGGCCUUGUGUUGAGGUAGAUGAGUGAACCAAUUAACUUUCGGUAGAGUGUAGCAUCUACUUUUUCAGCAUCAUCAUUGACUUGGAAUUUUUUAUUCGGCCCCAUUGGAGUAGAGACUGGCUUGCACUGGUUCAUGCUGAAUUUUUCUAGAAAAUCAUUAAUAUACUUCUCUUGAGAUAAAAAAAAUUCUUCCCGGGCUUUGUUUGACUUGGAUGCCAAGAAAGUAUUUCAUUUGACCCAAGUCACUCAUCUCAAAGUCUCUCAUCAUCUUUUUCUUGAAUUCUUCCACCAUGCUUUUACUUGUACCAAAGUAUAGAAGAUCAUCCACAUAAAGACAUACUACAAGAAAGUCUCUUCCAAGAUUAUUGACAUAUAGAGAUGAUUCACUCGUGCUUCGAUUGAAUCCAUUUUGGAUGAAAUAGCUAUUGAUUUUGCUAUUCCAUGCUCGCGGCGCUUGCUCUCUUGAGAAAAGUUUGCUGCACUUUUUCUUUCUGUCAUCUCUUUAUUUUGAAACCAACAAUCCCUUUGAGAAUGAUUGGGGAUCUUGCACCUUUUGCAUCUAAAGUAGCACUCCUUUGAUUCAUGAUUUAUUUUUUUGCAAAUUAUGCAAGUUGGAUUGUUACCACCAGAAAUUUGUGUUUGCUUGCCUUUCCAUUUGCUUUGCUUGUCACCCUUCUUCCAAUAGCUAUCUUUUUGUUUUGUUUGAUUUGAGCCUCUGUUGUGUUCUCCAUAGUUGUUCGAUCCUCCUUUUGAUGUUUGCUUUGAUUGGAAAGCUUGUUCGGUAGUGGAUUGGUUACUCGAACGAUUGAUCCUUUGCUCAUGGGCAAGAAGUGACCCGGUUAACUCAUAAAUGGUCAUUUUGGACAAGUCUUUCGAUUCUUCAAUUGCGGCUGCAACAUGGUCAAACUUUGGAGGAAGGCAUCUUAACAUUUUCUCCACGACUCUUUUAUCUGUAAUUGUGUCACCACAGCUUUUGAUUUGAUUUACUGUCUCAGCUACUCGUGAAGAAAAAACACGAACCGAUUCUCGUUCUUCCAUUUGGAGAUUAUCAAAGUCUCUCCAUAAGGAUUGAAGUUUCAAGGCGACGUUUUCUCCGUUCCUUGAAAUUCUUGCAUCAAUAUUUCCCAAGCAUCUUUGGCUUUUUUAACACCAAAGAUACGAGGGAAAAUUGAUUUCCCGACUCCUUGAAUAUAGCGGAGAGCCAUUGCAUCUUUUCUUUUAAAUUCUUUUUGCAAUUUUUCGUAAUUUUCAUUGUCUUCGGAUGGUUCUUCGUACUCCUCAUCGUCAAUGACAUCCCAAAGAUCUAAGGAGAUGAAGAAAGUUUGCAUUUGGAUGCUCCAGUAUUCAUAAUGCUCGCCUUCGAAGAUUGGGACUUGACUAGAAGAAUAUGUAAACAACGAAGCUAUUUGUAUGAAAGCCAUGAAAAAAUGCAAUCACAAGUUAUAGCUCUGAUACCAAAUAUGUUAGUGCGGAAACGAAGUGUUGAAGAAAAACUUGAAUUUUUAUUGAUAAUUUUUGAGUUGCUACAGCACACUCAAUAAUGUUUUCUUCUUUUUUUUUUCUUUACAAUGAGACUACAAGAAUGACCUCUAUUUAUAGGACUACAUGGAUAACUCUAGAGACAUGGGAAUAUAAAUGGACACCUAAUAAUUCAUGAAUUUGCAUCAUGUAUUUUCCUGAUACAUUUUCUUCAAGUGCAUGUAACCUUAUUUAUUUCCUAAGAUUACAAAUUAAUGCCACAUUUAACAGUUCCAUGCGUUAAAACAUGAAAUUUAUGUUGCACCUAUGUCCAUCGCCGUUUUAAUAUUCAAGCUACAUCAAAUGCAUUCGUCACAAAUGUAGUUUUCUUGCAGAAAUUUAAGUAGCUUUCCAAAAGCCAUUAGUCGAAUUAAUAGUUGAUAAUUUGUCGAUAAAAACACACAUAUAUGACCGGUGAACUAAGGAUGAAGUUUCCAUUUCAGUCCCCACGAACCAUGCUACUAAGAUGCAUUUCAAAUGGUGAUUUUUCACUUCUAAACUAAUUCUUCUGUGUUGGACUGAAGAUCUACGUUAGUCACAAAAAUAAGAUAGCUGAAAUACAGUUUCUUUGGCAGCAUAAAUGGAGAAAAUAUACAUUACGGGACGCCAACUAAUCCCUGUGCGGCAGAUAGGAUACCUGGAGGAUCUUCUAGUGGAUCUGCUGUUGCAGUUGGUGCAAAGCUUGUAGAUUUCUCCUUAGGUGAAUUUCUUCGCAUUAGAGAACAUUUCUUAUUCUAUUUUAUCCUUAGUUGAAUCAAAACGUGUUAUCUGCUAUAGGUACUGACACUGGAGGAAGUGUUAGAGUUCCUGCAUCACAUUGCGGGAUUUUUGGUUUUCGACCAUCUCAUGGAAUUGUUUCAACCUCUGGAGUCAUUCCUAUGGCACAAAGUUUUGACACCGUAGGUGAGGAAUAAUUUACCGAUGAUUGGACACUCAACUGUCUUUUUUGCUAAGUGCCAAAUGUUAGUAAAUAGCACUAUGAGUUCAAGAGCUGCCAAUUUCUGUAACUCUAUAAAAUUGAUGUUUUACUACAACAAUGCUAAUGAUUUUCUUAUCAAAUUAAAAUCAAUGGAAGGGUUUUAAAUCGCUGCCGUAAAACGUGGAACGAAUCAAAUUGAUUGAAAAGACAAACCCCUUGUGGGCAAACUUUUGUUUCAAAGUUUAUCUUUUUACAGAUGACACCAACACUCCAAUUCACUUUUUCUUGCUGCAAGUUUGUAUGUGUAUUCCUAUUUUAGACUUUCGUGUACUCGUUCCACUUGAUGCUGUCUCAGAUUAUGCUUUUAGAUUUACGACAUUCAUUGGGCAAACGAUUUCAUCUCAAAAUUCUCUUUCAGGAUGGUUUGCAAGAGAUCCUGUGAUUUUGAAGCGUGUUGGAAAGGUUCUAUUGAAAUUGCGAGACGAUAAUCCUGUGAGAUUCAAUCGUCUUAUUAUUGCAGAAGAUUGUUUUAAACUGUCAAGCAUCCCAUCUGAACGACUUACAGAAGCUCUUAUUAGCUCAAUAGAGAAGCUACAUGGAAGUAUGUUGUUGUCAUUCAAAAUGUUAUAUUAUCGGGGAUUUGAAGUUUGCACAAUACUUUUAAGAUAUAACGUUUACUUAGGUUGGCAUCACAACACAAAUACAUAUGUUACUAGUGUACCUGAUUUUUGUAGGUCAGAAAAUAGAAUAUGCAAGUCUUGGGAAAUACGUUGAGGACAAUGUUCCAAGUUUGAAGUAUUUUAGUAAUAAUGGAACCAAAAACCAAGAGGAUAGUAUACCAUCAUUGGUAGCUCUUUCAAGCGCCAGACACUUGCUUCAGAGGUGCAAAUUAUGAACAAGAUUUGUUUGGAUAUAUGUUGGUAUAUUAUGUUUUCUUUUCAUUGUUUUGGGUGUCAUGUCGAUCCAUUUUUUGAAUCGAUUGGCAAGAUUUUAUAUUAAAUUUUACACAAUGUCUUCAUCAUAUAUUUUGAGCCCUUUAACAACGUUAUUAUGAAGCUCAGGUAUGAAUUCAAGAACAAUCACAGUGAAUGGGUCCUCUCAGUCAAGCCUGAUUUAGGUCCCAAAAUAGCAGAGCGAGUGUGGAAAGCUCUCCAGACAACUGAUGAAAAAAUAGAUAUAUGCUAUUCAUUGAAGACUGAACUGCGCGCAGCUCUCAACGCUUUAUUGGGAGUAUAUUCUCUCUCUUUUUUAAUCCUUCAACGAUCCAAGUUAUUUAUUGUGCAUCUUAUGAUAUCAGCAGCAAUGCAUUUAUAUCUACAACCACUAAUGCUAUUAUAUUUCUUCAUUUGCAUAGGAUUCUAGCAUCUUAGCCAUGCCUACAGUUUCUGACCCUCCAGCAAAGCUACAAAUAGAGCCAACCACCCGGGAAACUCUUAACGCCAGGGCUUUAAGUUUG
rnacentral:lncRNA from 1 species